rnacentral:lncRNA from 1 species
UUGGCUCGCAUUGACUACGCACCACUAGGUCAGAAUCCUCCACACACACACCCACGUGCCACUGAGAUUCUCACCGUGCUUGAGGGGACACUUUACGUCGGAUUUGUCACCUCCAACCAAGCUGACAGAAGUAACAAGCUAUUUGCCAAGGUUCUCAACAAGGGCGAUGUGUUUGUAUUCCCCCAAGGACUAAUCCACUUCCAGUUCAACCCAGUACAUGACAAGCCAGCAGUCGCGCUCGCUGCUCUAAGUAGCCAGAACCCUGGAGCUAUUACUAUUGCCAAUGCAGUCUUUGGAUCAAAGCCACCUAUCUCGGAUGAUGUCCUAGCUAAGGCCUUUCAGGUGCAAAAGGGGACAAUUGAUUGGCUUCAAGCUCAGUUCUGGGAGAACAACCACUACUGAAAAAAUCGAGUCUGAGUUCAAUAUAUGAGAAUAAAGAAAUGUACUUGUAUUUUACAUACUACUCUAUGUGUUAACCUUUUUCUAGGUUGCGACUGAUAAUAAAAUAAAUGUUUAGUAUUAUUGUACUAUAAUCGUAAGUUUGUGCCUAUUGCGGUUCCACCGGUGUGUCCUUAAUCAAAAAGUGAAUGUAAUGUUUCUGACAAUCUAUCAUUUCCCAUUUUAUUAGGGAUGGUUCAUAUAAUAAGCCACCUCUACAAAAAGUCUAUAUUUCAUAUAGUGGGUCAUAUCUACAACUGUAUUGUUGCACCAUAGCUUUGGAACCAUUCCUAGAAAUGUAUUUUUUAUAAGAGCGAUUAACAUAAUUAAACCACCCCUGAAAUUCCAUCCAUUAUCAUUCAAUCCAUUGUUGGACCUUGAACUGAAUACCAAUUAUCACAAGAGCAACUAUCACAAAUGUGUAGAAGCACCAACUAAGAGACCAAAACAGAGAAGAUCAAAGAAUUUCAGCGACACUGGGGCACCUACGACAGAGUGGUGGCCAGUGUAGGCGCACAACGGGCACACCGAAUGCGACAUGGGGUGUGUCGAUGUGUGCGACAGGUGGAUGUGAAGUAGCACAAGCGGAUGCCUAGGGUUUGGGACGAUCGCCAGAUCGGGUAUGUUUCGUUGGGCCGUGGAAGUUGAUACCUAGGCUAUUGAACCACCAAAGCCCAGGCACAUUUGCCUGGGCAUGUGAAAGGGAAAUGUGCCCUUGGGCCAUUUCUAAGUAUUUUGGUGAUCGAGUGCAAACACAAGUGCUUAAAUGUGAAAAUAUGCCCAUAAAUGAACAAAGUGCAAAUCACAAGUAAAGGUAUGUUUCUAAGCCUUAGUACAUUAGUUUUGUGUACUAACAUCUUGUCUAAGUGUUAGAAACAGGAGAAAGAAGAAAAGAAAAGAAGUGGAGAGUGGCAGUGUACAGCCAAAGGCUGCUUCGGACUGGGGCACCGGACUGUCCGGUGUGCACCGGACAGUGUCCGGUGCGCCAGACCAGCACAGAGCAAACCAGCCGCUCUCGGAUUUUUCUCCGGCGACUUCGGCUAAAAUUCACCGGACCAUCCGGUGUGCACCGGACUGUCCGGUGAGCCAACGGUCGGCCGGGCCAACGGUCGGCCGCGCGAUCGGCGCACAACACGUGGCCGAGCCAACGGUCGGAAAGAUACACCGGACUGUCCGGUGUGCACCGGACAUGUCCGGUGCGCCAACAGUGCGCAGAUCUGACUCAGACAGCAACGGUCGGAUGCGCUGUUUGAGGAAACAAAUCGGGCACCGGACAGUGUCCGGUGUGCACCGGACUGUCCGGUGCGCCACGAGACAGAAGGCAAAGAUGGCCUUCCAGAUUUGUUCCCAACGGCUCCUAGCUGCCUUGGGGCUAUAAAAGGGACCCCUUGGCGCAUGGAGGAGAACACCAAGCAUUCCUACAACUCUUCUAAGCACCAAGACAUCAAUCUCACGCAUUCGUUUCAUUGUGAUAGCAUAUAGAGCUCUUGUGGAGUUGUGAACUCUUUGUGUUGCGUUGUGAGCUCUUGUUGCGACUUGUGUGCGUGUUGUUGCUCUGAUUUUUGAGUCUUGUGUGCGUUGCUCAUUCCCACCUUACUCCGUAUUUCUUUGUGAACUCAAUAGUAAGGGCGAGAGACUCCAAGUUGUGGAGAUUCCUCGCAAACGGGAAAAGAUCAAAGGAAAGAAAAACACCGUGGUAUUCAAGUUGAUCAUUGGAUCACUUGAGAGGAGUUGAGUGCAACUCUCGUCCGUUGGGACGCCACAACGUGGAGUAGGCAAGUUUUGUACUUGGCCGAACCACGGGAUAACCACCGUGUCAACUCUGUGAUUGCUUUCUUGUGGUUAUCGUGUUGUGAGUUCUCUCUAGCCACUUGGCAAUUACUGUGCUAACGCUUAAUCUAAGUUUUGUGGCUAUAAGUUUAAGUUUUUACAGGAUCACCUAUUCACCCCCCCUCUAGGUGCUCUCAAUUGGUAUCAGAGCCGUUCUCUUCAAGAAAGGGACUAACCGCCCGAAGAGAUGGAUCCUAAGGGGAAGGGAAUCGUGAUCAACGACAAGGAGAAGGAAUCCUUCGUCAACGAGCCCAAAGAAGACAAGCCUACCGACUCCGGCUCGGGCCAUAGACGGAGGGAAGGGAAGAAGAAGAAGACAAGGCGCAUCAAGGAGAUCGUCUACUACGACGACAGCGACGAAUCUUCCUCUUCCCAAAAGGACGACGACCACAACGACUACGAGCAAAGGAAACCGGUUAAUUCUAACUUUUCCUUUGACUACUCUCGUAUUCCGCAAAGUUCAAAUUCACAUUUGCUUUCCAUUCCACUCGGCAAGCCCCCACACUUUGAUGGGGAGGACUACGGAUUUUGGAGCCACAAAAUGCGUAGUCACCUAUUUUCUCUCCAUCCUAGUAUAUGGGAGAUUGUAGAUAGUGGAAUGCACUUUAAUAGUUCGGAUAGUCCUAUAUUCAUUAAUGAGCAAAUCCAUAAGAAUGCACAAGCUACUACUGUUCUUCUAGCUUCAUUGUGCAGGGAUGAAUAUAACAAAGUGAGUGGCUUGGAUAACGCCAAGCAAAUCUGGGAUACCCUCAAGAUCUCUCAUGAGGGAAAUGACGCUACCUUGCUCACCAAAUUGGAGUUGGUGGAGGGCGAGCUUGGACGGUUCGCAAUGAUAAGGGGCGAGGAGCCAACUCAAACAUACAACCGGCUCAAGACCCUUAUCAACAAAAUAAGGAGCUACGGAAGCACGCGAUGGACGGACCACGACGUCGUCCGACUAAUGCUAAGGUCCUUUACCGUUCUUGAUCCUCAUUUGGUGAAUAAUAUUCGUGAGAAUCCCAGGUACACCAAAAUGUCGCCCGAAGAAGUCUUAGGAAAAUUCGUCAGCGGGCGAAUGAUGAUCAAGGAGGCAAGGUACGUGGACGACGCCUUGAAUGGACCGAUCAACGAACCACAACCUUUUGCUCUCAAAGCAACAAGAAGUAAGGAGGCGCUACCUAGCAAGGUGGCACAAAUUGAGGCGGUCGGACUUAAUGAUGAAGAGAUGGCUCUCAUCAUCAAACGCUUCAAGACGGUGCUGAAAGGUCACAAGGGGCAGCCAAGCAAGACCAAGACGAAGGGGAAGCGCUCAUGCUUCAAGUGCGGUAAGAUUGGUCAUUUUAUUGCUAACUGCCCCGAUAAUGACAGUGACCAGGAAAAGGGAAACAAGAGGGAAAAGAAGAAGCAUUACAAGAAGGCAAAGGGCGAGGCGCAUCUAGGCAAGGAGUGGGACUCGGAUUGCUCCUCUUCCGACUCCGACAAUGAAGGACUCGCCGCCACCGCCUUCAACAAAUCAACCCUCUUCCCCAACGAGCGUCACACAUGCCUUAUGGCAAGGGAGAAGAAGGUAUGUACUCGCAACUCUACCUAUGCUUCUUCAAGUGAGGACGAAUCUAGUAAUGAGGAUGAAGUAGAUUAUUCAUGUUUGUUCAAGGGCUUAGAUAGAUCUAAGAUAGACAAAAUUAAUGAAUUAAUUGAUGCCUUGAAUGAAAAGAAUAUACUUUUAGAAAAGCAAGAGGAUUUGUUAUAUGAAGAACAUGAUAAGUUUGUAGAGGCUCAAAAAUCUCUUGCAUUAGAAAUUAAGAGAAAUGAAAUGCUUGCUUGUGAAGUGUCAACAUGCCAUGAUUCUAUUUCUAACUUAAAGAGCAUAAACGAUGAUUUAAAUGCUAAACUAGUAGAAGCAAAUAAAUCCAACUCUUGUGUUGAAUAUGUUGAAAUUUGCACUAGGUGUAAGGAUAUUGAUAUUAAUGCUUGUAGCGAACACUUAGUUUCUAUUUCAAAAUUGAAUGAUGAAUUAGCUAGUCUUAAUGCUCAACUUAAGACUAGCAAGAGUAAUUUUGAUAAACUAAAAUUUGCUAGGGAUGCCUACACGGUUGGUAGACACCCCUCAAUUAAGGAUGGGCUUGGCUUCAAGAGAGAAGUCAAGAACUUGACAAGCCAUAAGGCUCCUAUCUCCGUCAAGGAGAAAGGGAAGGCUCCUAUGGCUAGUAGCACUAAAAAGAACCAUGCUUUUUUAUAUCAUGAUAGAAGUGCUUAUAGGGGUUAUAAUGCUUAUGAUGAUUUUGAUGCUCACAGUUCUUCCUUUAUGCAUGGUAGAAAUAUGUCUAGGAAAAAUGCUAUGCCUAGAAAGAAUGUUAUUCAUGCUCCUAGGAAAGUAGUGAAUGAACCUUCUACAAUUUAUUGUGCUUUAAAUGCUUCCUUUGUUAUUUGUAGAAAGGAUAAGAAAAUUGUUGCUAGGAAGUUAGGGGCAAAAUGCAAGGGAGACAAAACUUGCAUUUGGGUCCCUAAGGAUAUUUGCUCUAACCUUGUAGGACCCAACAUGAGUUGGGUACCUAAGUCCCAAGCCUAAAUUUGCCUUGCAGGUUUAUGCAUCCGGGGGUUCAAGCUGGAUUAUCGACAGCGGAUGCACAAACCAUAUGACGGGGGAGAAGAAGAUGUUCACUUCCUACGUCAAGAAUAAGGAUUCCCAAGAUUCAAUUAUAUUCGGUGAUGGGAAUCAAGGCAAGGUAAAAGGAUUAGGUAAAAUUGCAAUUUCUAAUGAGCAUUCUAUCUCUAAUGUAUUUUUAGUAGAGAGUCUUGGAUAUAAUUUACUAUCUGUUAGUCAAUUAUGUCAUAUGGGAUAUAACUGUCUAUUUACAAAUGUAGAUGUGUCUGUCUUUAGAAGAAGUGAUGGUUCACUAGCUUUUAAGGGUGUAUUAGACGGCAAACUUUAUUUAGUUGAUUUUGCAAAAGAAGAGGCCGGUCUAGAUGCAUGCUUAAUAGCUAAGACUAGCAUGGGCUGGCUGUGGCAUCGCCGCUUAGCACAUGUGGGGAUGAAGAACCUUCACAAGCUUCUAAAGGGAGAACACGUGAUAGGUUUGACUAACGUGCAUUUCGAAAAAGAUAGACCUUGUGCAGCUUGUCAAGCAGCUAAACAAGUGGGAGGAGCGCAUCACAGCAAGAACGUGAUGACCACUUCAAGACCCCUAGAGCUGCUGCAUAUGGACCUCUUCGGACCCGUCGCCUAUCUGAGCAUAGGAGGGAGUAAGUAUGGUCUAGUUAUUGUUGAUGACUUUUCCCGCUUCACUUGGGUGUUCUUUUUGCAGGAUAAGUCUGAAACCCAAGGGACCCUCAAGCGCUUCCUCAGGAGAGCUCAAAAUGAGUUUGAGCUCAAAGUGAAGAAGAUAAGGAGCGACAACGGGUCCGAGUUCAAGAACCUUCAAGUGGAGGAGUUCCUUGAAGAGGAAGGGAUCAAGCACGAGUUCUCCGCUCCCUACACACCACAGCAAAAUGGUGUGGUAGAGAGGAAGAACAGGACGCUCAUCGACAUGGCGAGGACGAUGCUAGGAGAGUUGAAGACCCCCAAGUACUUUUGGACGGAAGCCGUAAACACGGCUUGCCACGCCAUCAACAGGGUCUACCUUCAUCGCCUCCUUAAGAAGACGUCGUAUGAGCUACUAACCGGUAACAAACCCAAUGUAUCUUACUUUCGUGUAUUUGGGAGCAAGUGCUACAUUCUAGUGAAGAAGGGUAGAAAUUCUAAGUUUGCUCCCAAAGCUGUAGAAGGGUUUUUGUUAGGUUAUGACUCAAAUACAAAGGCGUAUAGAGUCUUCAACAAAUCAUCGGGUUUGGUUGAAGUCUCCAGCGACGUUGUAUUUGAUGAGACUAAUGGCUCUCCAAGAGAGCAAGUUGUUGAUUGUGAUGAUGUAGAUGAAGAAGAUGUUCCGACGGCCGCUAUACGAACCAUGGCGAUUGGAGAAGUGCGGCCACAGGAACAAGAUGAACGAGAUCAACCUUCUUCCUCAACUAUGGUGCAUCCCCCAACCGAAGGUGACGUACAGGUACCUCAAGUGGAGGCGAUUGAUCAAGGGGGAGCACAAGGUGAUCAAGUGAUGGAGGAAGAAGCGCAACCGGCACCUCCAACCCAAGUUCGAGCGAUGAUUCAAAGGGAUCAUCCCGUCGACCAAAUUCUGGGUGAUAUUAGCAAGGGAGUAACUACUCGAUCUCGAUUAGUUAAUUUUUGUGAGCAUUACUCCUUUGUCUCUUCUAUUGAGCCUUUCAGGGUAGAGGAGGCCAUGCUAGAUCCGGACUGGGUAUUGGCCAUGCAGGAGGAACUCAACAACUUCAAGCGCAAUGAAGUUUGGACACUGGUGCCUCGUCCAAAACAAAAUGUUGUGGGAACCAAGUGGGUGUUCCGCAACAAACAGGACGAGCACGGGGUGGUGACGAGGAACAAGGCUCGACUUGUGGCAAAAGGUUAUGCCCAAGUCGCAGGUUUGGACUUUGAGGAGACUUUUGCUCCUGUGGCUAGGCUAGAGUCAAUUCGUAUCUUGCUAGCAUAUGCCGCUCACCAUUCUUUCAGGUUGUACCAAAUGGAUGUGAAGAGCGCUUUCCUCAACGGGCCAAUCAAGGAGGAGGUGUACGUGGAGCAACCCCCUGGCUUCGAGGAUGAACGAUACCCCGACCAUGUGUGUAAGCUCUCUAAGGCGCUCUAUGGACUUAAGCAAGCCCCAAGAGCAUGGUAUGAAUGCCUUAGAGACUUUUUAAUUGCUAAUGCUUUCAAGGUUGGGAAAGCCGAUCCAACUCUUUUUACAAAGACAUGUGAUGGUGAUUUGUUUGUGUGCCAAAUUUAUGUCGAUGACAUAAUAUUUGGUUCUACUAACCAAAAGUCUUGUGAAGAGUUUAGCAGGGUGAUGACGCAGAAAUUCGAGAUGUCGAUGAUGGGCGAGUUGAACUACUUCCUUGGGUUCCAAGUGAAGCAACUCAAGGACGGCACCUUCAUCUCCCAAACCAAGUACACGCAAGAUCUGCUAAAGCGGUUUGGGAUGAAGGACGCCAAGCCCGCAAAGACUCCGAUGGGGACCGACGGACACACCGACCUCAACAAAGGAGGUAAGUCCGUUGAUCAAAAAGCAUAUCGGUCAAUGAUAGGUUCUUUGCUUUACUUAUGUGCUAGUAGACCGGAUAUUAUGCUUAGCGUAUGCAUGUGUGCUAGAUUUCAAUCCGAUCCUAAGGAAUGUCACUUAGUGGCGGUGAAGCGAAUUCUUAGAUAUUUGGUUGCUACGCCUUGCUUCGGGCUCUGGUAUCCAAAGGGGUCUACCUUUGACUUAGUUGGAUACUCAGACUCCGACUAUGCCGGAUGUAAGGUCGAUAGGAAGAGUACAUCGGGGACGUGCCAAUUCUUAGGAAGGUCCCUGGUGUCAUGGAACUCUAAGAAACAAACCUCCGUUGCCCUAUCCACCGCUCAGGCCGAGUACGUUGCCGCAGGUCAGUGUUGCGCGCAACUACUUUGGAUGAGGCAAACCCUCCGGGACUUUGGCUACAAUCUGAGCAAAGUCCCACUCCUAUGUGACAAUGAGAGUGCUAUCCGCAUGGCGGAGAAUCCUGUUGAGCACAGCCACACAAAGCACAUAGACAUCCGGCAUCACUUUUUGAGAGACCACCAGCAAAAGGGAGAUAUCGAAGUGUUUCAUGUUAGCACCGAGAAUCAGCUAGCCGAUAUCUUCACUAAGCCUCUAGAUGAGAAGACCUUUUGCAGGUUGCGUAGUGAGCUAAAUGUCAUAGAUUCGCGGAACCUGGAUUGAAUUGUAGCAUACAUGUACUUAUGCGUUUGAUCAUGUUCCUUUUUGCAUUUUGUUGCGUUAUUAUGGUGCUCAAGUUGUAAAAACACUCCCUGAACCUCACAAGUCCGUUGCAAAGUGAUGCACAUGUUUAGGGGGAGAUGUGUUACAACUUGACCCUUUGAGACUAACCAUGUGCUUGAGUUUGAUGUUUUAGUCUCGAAGGAGGAUUAAAAGGGAAAAGGUGGACUUGGACCAUGAAAGACUUCCACUGCACUCCAAUGAGAGGGUAACUUAUUCCAAGUUCAUCUCAUGACAUCUUAUUGCCAUUUGCUCUUACUUGAAGAUUUUGGUGAGGAAAUGGGGUUCUAGGGCCAAGAUUGAUCCCGUUUUGGUGCUUGAUGCCAAAGGGGGAGAAAAUAAAGGCCAAAGUGAUAAAUGGAUCAGCUACCACUUGAGAGAUUUUGAAAAUAGUAGAAUAGAGUAUUUGGUUUGUUCAAAACUCUUGCAUUGUCUCUUUCGUCAAAAGUUGGCUUCAUGUGGGGAGAAGUAUUGAUUAUGGGAAUUAGGGGGAGUUUUUGAAAUCUUUGAUCAAUCUCUUUUGGAAUGACUCUCUUUAUGCUUCAACAUGUGUGUUUGACUUAGAGAUAGAGAUUUGAGUUUGAUUUGCAAAAACAAACCAAGUGGUGGCAAAAGAUGAUCCAUAUAUGCCAAAAUUGAAUAAAACUCAAAGUCAGUUUUUAUUUGAAGUGAUUUUGCACUUGUUCUAGUUGCUUUAUGUUGUGUUGGCAUAAAUCACCAAAAAGGGGGAGAUUGAAAGGGAAAUGUGCCCUUGGGCCAUUUCUAAGUAUUUUGGUGAUCGAGUGCAAACACAAGUGCUUAAAUGUGAAAAUAUGCCCAUAAAUGAACAAAGUGCAAAUCACAAGUAAAGGUAUGUUUCUAAGCCUUAGUACAUUAGUUUUGUGUACUAACAUCUUGUCUAAGUGUUAGAAACAGGAGAAAGAAGAAAAGAAAAGAAGUGGAGAGUGGCAGUGUACAGCCAAAGGCUGCUUCGGACUGGGGCACCGGACUGUCCGGUGUGCACCGGACAGUGUCCGGUGCGCCAGACCAGCACAGAGCAAACCAGCCGCUCUCGGGUUUUUCUCCGGCGACUUCGGCUAAAAUUCACCGGACCGUCCGGUGUGCACCGGACUGUCCGGUGAGCCAACGGUCGGCCGGGCCAACGGUCGGCCGCGCGAUCGGCACGCGACACGUGGCCGAGCCAACGGUCGGAAAGAUACACCGGACUGUCCGGUGUGCACCGGACAUGUCCGGUGCGCCAACAGUGCGCAGAUCUGACUCAGACAGCAACGGUCGGAUGCGCUGUUUGAGGAAACAAAUCGGGCACCGGACAGUGUCCGGUGUGCACCGGACUGUCCGGUGCGCCACGAGACAGAAGGCAAAGAUGGCCUUCCAGAUUUGUUCCCAACGGCUCCUAGCUGCCUUGGGGCUAUAAAAGGGACCCCUUGGCGCAUGGAGGAGAACACCAAGCAUUCCUACAACUCUUCUAAGCACCAAGACAUCAAUCUCACGCAUUCGUUUCAUUGUGAUAGCAUAUAGAGCUCUUGUGGAGUUGUGAACUCUUUGUGUUGCGUUGCGAGCUCUUGUUGCGACUUGUGUGCGUGUUGUUGCUCUGAUUUUUGAGUCUUGUGUGCGUUGCUCAUUCCCACCUUACUCCGUAUUUCUUUGUGAACUCAAUAGUAAGGGCGAGAGACUCCAAGUUGUGGAGAUUCCUCGCAAACGGGAAAAGAUCAAAGGAAAGAAAAACACCGUGGUAUUCAAGUUGAUCAUUGGAUCACUUGAGAGGAGUUGAGUGCAACUCUCGUCCGUUGGGACGCCACAACGUGGAGUAGGCAAGUUUUGUACUUGGCCGAACCACGGGAUAACCACCGUGUCAACUCUGUGAUUGCUUUCUUGUGGUUAUCGUGUUGUGAGUUCUCUCUAGCCACUUGGCAAUUACUGUGCUAACGCUUAAUCUAAGUUUUGUGGCUAUAAGUUUAAGUUUUUACAGGAUCACCUAUUCACCCCCCCCCUCUAGGUGCUCUCAAUUGGUAUCAGAGCCGUUCUCUUCAAGAAAGGGACUAACCGCCCGAAGAGAUGGAUCCUAAGGGGAAGGGAAUCGUGAUCAACGACAAGGAGAAGGAAUCCUUCGUCAACGAGCCCAAAGAAGACAAGCCUACCGACUCCGGCUCGGGCCAUAGACGGAGGGAAGGGAAGAAGAAGAAGACAAGGCGCAUCAAGGAGAUCGUCUACUACGACGACAGCGACGAAUCUUCCUCUUCCCAAAAGGACGACGACCACAACGACUACGAGCAAAGGAAACCGGUUAAUUCUAACUUUUCCUUUGACUACUCUCGUAUUCCGCAAAGUUCAAAUUCACAUUUGCUUUCCAUUCCACUCGGCAAGCCCCCACACUUUGAUGGGGAGGACUACGGAUUUUGGAGCCACAAAAUGCGUAGUCACCUAUUUUCUCUCCAUCCUAGUAUAUGGGAGAUUGUAGAUAGUGGAAUGCACUUUAAUAGUUCGGAUAGUCCUAUAUUCAUUAAUGAGCAAAUCCAUAAGAAUGCACAAGCUACUACUGUUCUUCUAGCUUCAUUGUGCAGGGAUGAAUAUAACAAAGUGAGUGGCUUGGAUAACGCCAAACAAAUCUGGGAUACCCUCAAGAUCUCUCAUGAGGGAAAUGACGCUACCUUGCUCACCAAAUUGGAGUUGGUGGAGGGCGAGCUUGGACGGUUCGCAAUGAUAAGGGGCGAGGAGCCAACUCAAACAUACAACCGGCUCAAGACCCUUAUCAACAAAAUAAGGAGCUACGGAAGCACGCGAUGGACGGACCACGACGUCGUCCGACUAAUGCUAAGGUCCUUUACCGUUCUUGAUCCUCAUUUGGUGAAUAAUAUUCGUGAGAAUCCCAGGUACACCAAAAUGUCGCCCGAAGAAGUCUUAGGAAAAUUCGUCAGCGGGCGAAUGAUGAUCAAGGAGGCAAGGUACGUGGACGACGCCUUGAAUGGACCGAUCAACGAACCACAACCUUUUGCUCUCAAAGCAACAAGAAGUAAGGAGGCGCUACCUAGCAAGGUGGCACAAAUUGAGGCGGUCGGACUUAAUGAUGAAGAGAUGGCUCUCAUCAUCAAACGCUUCAAGACGGUGCUGAAAGGUCACAAGGGGCAGCCAAGCAAGACCAAGACGAAGGGGAAGCGCUCAUGCUUCAAGUGCGGUAAGAUUGGUCAUUUUAUUGCUAACUGCCCCGAUAAUGACAGUGACCAGGAAAAGGGAAACAAGAGGGAAAAGAAGAAGCAUUACAAGAAGGCAAAGGGCGAGGCGCAUCUAGGCAAGGAGUGGGACUCGGAUUGCUCCUCUUCCGACUCCGACAAUGAAGGACUCGCCGCCACCGCCUUCAACAAAUCAACCCUCUUCCCCAACGAGCGUCACACAUGCCUUAUGGCAAGGGAGAAGAAGGUAUGUACUCGCAACUCUACCUAUGCUUCUUCAAGUGAGGACGAAUCUAGUAAUGAGGAUGAAGUAGAUUAUUCAUGUUUGUUCAAGGGCUUAGAUAGAUCUAAGAUAGACAAAAUUAAUGAAUUAAUUGAUGCCUUGAAUGAAAAGAAUAUACUUUUAGAAAAGCAAGAGGAUUUGUUAUAUGAAGAACAUGAUAAGUUUGUAGAGGCUCAAAAAUCUCUUGCAUUAGAAAUUAAGAGAAAUGAAAUGCUUGCUUGUGAAGUGUCAACAUGCCAUGAUUCUAUUUCUAACUUAAAGAGCAUAAACGAUGAUUUAAAUGCUAAACUAGUAGAAGCAAAUAAAUCCAACUCUUGUGUUGAAUAUGUUGAAAUUUGCACUAGGUGUAAGGAUAUUGAUAUUAAUGCUUGUAGCGAACACUUAGUUUCUAUUUCAAAAUUGAAUGAUGAAUUAGCUAGUCUUAAUGCUCAACUUAAGACUAGCAAGAGUAAUUUUGAUAAACUAAAAUUUGCUAGGGAUGCCUACACGGUUGGUAGACACCCCUCAAUUAAGGAUGGGCUUGGCUUCAAGAGAGAAGUCAAGAACUUGACAAGCCAUAAGGCUCCUAUCUCCGCCAAGGAGAAAGGGAAGGCUCCUAUGGCUAGUAGCACUAAAAAGAACCAUGCUUUUUUAUAUCAUGAUAGAAGUGCUUAUAGGGGUUAUAAUGCUUAUGAUGAUUUUGAUGCUCACAGUUCUUCCUUUAUGCAUGGUAGAAAUAUGUCUAGGAAAAAUGCUAUGCCUAGAAAGAAUGUUAUUCAUGCUCCUAGGAAAGUAGUGAAUGAACCUUCUACAAUUUAUUGUGCUUUAAAUGCUUCCUUUGUUAUUUGUAGAAAGGAUAAGAAAAUUGUUGCUAGGAAGUUAGGGGCAAAAUGCAAGGGAGACAAAACUUGCAUUUGGGUCCCUAAGGAUAUUUGCUCUAACCUUGUAGGACCCAACAUGAGUUGGGUACCUAAGUCCCAAGCCUAAAUUUGCCUUGCAGGUUUAUGCAUCCGGGGGUUCAAGCUGGAUUAUCGACAGCGGAUGCACAAACCAUAUGACGGGGGAGAAGAAGAUGUUCACUUCCUACGUCAAGAAUAAGGAUUCCCAAGAUUCAAUUAUAUUCGGUGAUGGGAAUCAAGGCAAGGUAAAAGGAUUAGGUAAAAUUGCAAUUUCUAAUGAGCAUUCUAUCUCUAAUGUAUUUUUAGUAGAGAGUCUUGGAUAUAAUUUACUAUCUGUUAGUCAAUUAUGUCAUAUGGGAUAUAACUGUCUAUUUACAAAUGUAGAUGUGUCUGUCUUUAGAAGAAGUGAUGGUUCACUAGCUUUUAAGGGUGUAUUAGACGGCAAACUUUAUUUAGUUGAUUUUGCAAAAGAAGAGGCCGGUCUAGAUGCAUGCUUAAUAGCUAAGACUAGCAUGGGCUGGCUGUGGCAUCGCCGCUUAGCACAUGUGGGGAUGAAGAACCUUCACAAGCUUCUAAAGGGAGAACACGUGAUAGGUUUGACUAACGUGCAUUUCGAAAAAGAUAGACCUUGUGCAGCUUGUCAAGCAGGUAAACAAGUGGGAGGAGCGCAUCACAGCAAGAACGUGAUGACCACUUCAAGACCCCUAGAGCUGCUGCAUAUGGACCUCUUCGGACCCGUCGCCUAUCUGAGCAUAGGAGGGAGUAAGUAUGGUCUAGUUAUUGUUGAUGACUUUUCCCGCUUCACUUGGGUGUUCUUUUUGCAGGAUAAGUCUGAAACCCAAGGGACCCUCAAGCGCUUCCUCAGGAGAGCUCAAAAUGAGUUUGAGCUCAAAGUGAAGAAGAUAAGGAGCGACAACGGGUCCGAGUUCAAGAACCUUCAAGUGGAGGAGUUCCUUGAAGAGGAAGGGAUCAAGCACGAGUUCUCCGCUCCCUACACACCACAGCAAAAUGGUGUGGUAGAGAGGAAGAACAGGACGCUCAUCGACAUGGCGAGGACGAUGCUAGGAGAGUUCAAGACCCCCGAGUACUUUUGGACGGAAGCCGUAAACACGGCUUGCCACGCCAUCAACAGGGUCUACCUUCAUCGCCUCCUUAAGAAGACGUCGUAUGAGCUACUAACCGGUAACAAACCCAAUGUAUCUUACUUUCGUGUAUUUGGGAGCAAGUGCUACAUUCUAGUGAAGAAGGGUAGAAAUUCUAAGUUUGCUCCCAAAGCUGUAGAAGGGUUUUUGUUAGGUUAUGACUCAAAUACAAAGGCGUAUAGAGUCUUCAACAAAUCAUCGGGUUUGGUUGAAGUCUCCAGCGACGUUGUAUUUGAUGAGACUAAUGGCUCUCCAAGAGAGCAAGUUGUUGAUUGUGAUGAUGUAGAUGAAGAAGAUGUUCCGACGGCCGCUAUACGAACCAUGGCGAUUGGAGAAGUGCGGCCACAGGAACAAGAUGAACGAGAUCAACCUUCUUCCUCAACUAUGGUGCAUCCCCCAACCGAAGGUGACGUACAGGUACCUCAAGUGGAGGCGAUUGAUCAAGGGGGAGCACAAGGUGAUCAAGUGAUGGAGGAAGAAGCGCAACCGGCACCUCCAACCCAAGUUCGAGCGAUGAUUCAAAGGGAUCAUCCCGUCGACCAAAUUCUGGGUGAUAUUAGCAAGGGAGUAACUACUCGAUCUCGAUUAGUUAAUUUUUGUGAGCAUUACUCCUUUGUCUCUUCUAUUGAGCCUUUCAGGGUAGAGGAGGCCAUGCUAGAUCCGGACUGGGUAUUGGCCAUGCAGGAGGAACUCAACAACUUCAAGCGCAAUGAAGUUUGGACACUGGUGCCUCGUCCAAAACAAAAUGUUGUGGGAACCAAGUGGGUGUUCCGCAACAAACAGGACGAGCACGGGGUGGUGACGAGGAACAAGGCUCGACUUGUGGCAAAAGGUUAUGCCCAAGUCGCAGGUUUGGACUUUGAGGAGACUUUUGCUCCUGUGGCUAGGCUAGAGUCAAUUCGUAUCUUGCUAGCAUAUGCCGCUCACCAUUCUUUCAGGUUGUACCAAAUGGAUGUGAAGAGCGCUUUCCUCAACGGGCCAAUCAAGGAGGAGGUGUACGUGGAGCAACCCCCUGGCUUCGAGGAUGAACGAUACCCCGACCAUGUGUGUAAGCUCUCUAAGGCGCUCUAUGGACUUAAGCAAGCCCCAAGAGCAUGGUAUGAAUGCCUUAGAGACUUUUUAAUUGCUAAUGCUUUCAAGGUUGGGAAAGCCGAUCCAACUCUUUUUACAAAGACAUGUGAUGGUGAUUUGUUUGUGUGCCAAAUUUAUGUCGAUGACAUAAUAUUUGGUUCUACUAACCAAAAGUCUUGUGAAGAGUUUAGCAGGGUGAUGACGCAGAAAUUCGAGAUGUCGAUGAUGGGCGAGUUGAACUACUUCCUUGGGUUCCAAGUGAAGCAACUCAAGGACGGCACCUUCAUCUCCCAAACCAAGUACACGCAAGAUCUGCUAAAGCGGUUUGGGAUGAAGGACGCCAAGCCCGCAAAGACUCCGAUGGGGACCGACGGACACACCGACCUCAACAAAGGAGGUAAGUCCGUUGAUCAAAAAGCAUAUCGGUCAAUGAUAGGUUCUUUGCUUUACUUAUGUGCUAGUAGACCGGAUAUUAUGCUUAGCGUAUGCAUGUGUGCUAGAUUUCAAUCCGAUCCUAAGGAAUGUCACUUAGUGGCGGUGAAGCGAAUUCUUAGAUAUUUGGUUGCUACGCCUUGCUUCGGGCUCUGGUAUCCAAAGGGGUCUACCUUUGACUUAGUUGGAUACUCAGACUCCGACUAUGCCGGAUGUAAGGUCGAUAGGAAGAGUACAUCGGGGACGUGCCAAUUCUUAGGAAGGUCCCUGGUGUCAUGGAACUCUAAGAAACAAACCUCCGUUGCCCUAUCCACCGCUGAGGCCGAGUACGUUGCCGCAGGUCAGUGUUGCGCGCAACUACUUUGGAUGAGGCAAACCCUCCGGGACUUUGGCUACAAUCUGAGCAAAGUCCCACUCCUAUGUGACAAUGAGAGUGCUAUCCGCAUGGCGGAGAAUCCUGUUGAGCACAGCCGCACAAAGCACAUAGACAUCCGGCAUCACUUUUUGAGAGACCACCAGCAAAAGGGAGAUAUCGAAGUGUUUCAUGUUAGCACCGAGAAUCAGCUAGCCGAUAUCUUCACUAAGCCUCUAGAUGAGAAGACCUUUUGCAGGUUGCGUAGUGAGCUAAAUGUCAUAGAUUCGCGGAACCUGGAUUGAAUUGUAGCAUACAUGUACUUAUGCGUUUGAUCAUGUUCCUUUUUGCAUUUUGUUGCGUUAUUAUGGUGCUCAAGUUGUAAAAACACUCCCUGAACCUCACAAGUCCGUUGCAAAGUGAUGCACAUGUUUAGGGGGAGAUGUGUUACAACUUGACCCUUUGAGACUAACCAUGUGCUUGAGUUUGAUGUUUUAGUCUCGAAGGAGGAUUAAAAGGGAAAAGGUGGACUUGGACCAUGAAAGACUUCCACUGCACUCCAAUGAGAGGGUAACUUAUUCCAAGUUCAUCUCAUGACAUCUUAUUGCCAUUGGCUCUUACUUGAAGAUUUUGGUGAGGAAAUGGGGUUCUAGGGCCAAGAUUGAUCCCGUUUUGGUGCUUGAUGCCAAAGGGGGAGAAAAUAAAGGCCAAAGUGAUAAAUGGAUCAGCUACCACUUGAGAGAUUUUGAAAAUAGUAGAAUAGAGUAUUUGGUUUGUUCAAAACUCUUGCAUUGUCUCUUUCGUCAAAAGUUGGCUUCAUGUGGAGAGAAGUAUUGAUUAUGGGAAUUAGGGGGAGUUUUUGAAAUCUUUGAUCAAUCUCUUUUGGAAUGACUCUCUUUAUGCUUCAACAUGUGUGUUUGACUUAGAGAUAGAGAUUUGAGUUUGAUUUGCAAAAACAAACCAAGUGGUGGCAAAAGAUGAUCCAUAUAUGCCAAAAUUGAAUAAAACUCAAAGUCAGUUUUUAUUUGAAGUGAUUUUGCACUUGUUCUAGUUGCUUUAUGUUGUGUUGGCAUAAAUCACCAAAAAGGGGGAGAUUGAAAGGGAAAUGUGCCCUUGGGCCAUUUCUAAGUAUUUUGGUGAUCGAGUGCAAACACAAGUGCUUAAAUGUGAAAAUAUGCCCAUAAAUGAACAAAGUGCAAAUCACAAGUAAAGGUAUGUUUCUAAGCCUUAGUACAUUAGUUUUGUGUACUAACAUCUUGUCUAAGUGUUAGAAACAGGAGAAAGAAGAAAAGAAAAGAAGUGGAGAGUGGCAGUGUACAGCCAAAGGCUGCUUCAGACUGGGGCACCGGACUGUCCGGUGUGCACCGGACAGUGUCCGGUGCGCCAGACCAGCACAGAGCAAACCAGCCGCUCUCGGGUUUUUCUCCGGCGACUUCGGCUAAAAUUCACCGGACCGUCCGGUGUGCACCGGACUGUCCGGUGAGCCAACGGUCGGCCGGGCCAACGGUCGGCCGCGCGAUCGGCGCGCGACACGUGGCCGAGCCAACGGUCGGAAAGAUACACCGGACUGUCCGGUGUGCACCGGACAUGUCCGGUGCGCCAACAGUGCGCAGAUCUGACUCAGACAGCAACGGUCGGAUGCGCUGUUUGAGGAAACAAAUCGGGCACCGGACAGUGUCCGGUGCGCCACGAGACAGAAGGCAAAGAUGGCCUUCCAGAUUUGUUCCCAACGGCUCCUAGCUGCCUUGGGGCUAUAAAAGGGACCCCUUGGCGCAUGGAGGAGAACACCAAGCAUUCCUACAACUCUUCUAAGCACCAAGACAUCAAUCUCACGCAUUCGUUUCAUUGUGAUAGCAUAUAGAGCUCUUGUGGAGUUGUGAACUCUUUGUGUUGCGUUGCGAGCUCUUGUUGCGACUUGUGUGCGUGUUGUUGCUCUGAUUUUUGAGUCUUGUGUGCGUUGCUCAUUCCCACCUUACUCCGUAUUUCUUUGUGAACUCAAUAGUAAGGGCGAGAGACUCCAAGUUGUGGAGAUUCCUCGCAAACGGGAAAAGAUCAAAGGAAAGAAAAACACCGUGGUAUUCAAGUUGAUCAUUGGAUCACUUGAGAGGAGUUGAGUGCAACUCUCGUCCGUUGGGACGCCACAACGUGGAGUAGGCAAGUUUUGUACUUGGCCGAACCACGGGAUAACCACCGUGUCAACUCUGUGAUUGCUUUCUUGUGGUUAUCGUGUUGUGAGUUCUCUCUAGCCACUUGGCAAUUACUGUGCUAACGCUUAAUCUAAGUUUUGUGGCUAUAAGUUUAAGUUUUUACAGGAUCACCUAUUCACCCCCCCCCUCUAGGUGCUCUCAGCAUGUCGGGCCUAGGCUUUGUCCCAUAAACUAUAUUUCUAGUCAUAAUUUGGAAGAUGAAUAUUACACGGAGCCGUCCAAAUUACUGAGCAAAAAAACUGAGCUAUCAAUUGGUACAUCAGCUAAGAUUAACUUAAUCGGCUAAGUAGGUCAUAUGGAGAGUCGGAACGACCAGUGUCUUCCACUACAUGCAUAUAGUAACAGAAGUCAAGUGGUCACAUCCACAAUUCGACAAUGUAAAGACUAGUUAUAUUCACUUUACAUAUGCAACACAAAACUCAAUCUCAUGAGAAAUCUAAAAGUCCAAACAUAUAUAUUCGUUUAAGACACUAAUUAAGCCAAAACAACACAAAGUUAAGGAGACACAUUAAUUAGUGACACCAAAUUAAAGCAUGUCACUACUGUAUAAGAAUAGUGAUGUGGGUAAAGUAACAAGUCACUAUUAGUUGCCACUCAUGACAAAAGAAAACAAAUCCUUUUAUUGCUCAGAUUCCUUUUUUUUCUCUAAAAUCUCCUUGUGUCGAAAAUAUGUUAAGGAUAUGAUUGUUGAAAUGGAUAAAACAUGACUAAUGUAUAUAGAACCAGAAUAGAGAUUAGAUCAAAUUGGACGGUUUUAGUACCACAGUGACAUAAGGGUUGAUGGGUAGGGGGGUCCGGCUAUUAUUAGAGGAACAACGCCAUUGGCACCACCUACUGCCAUUACCAUCAUGCCGGAGGUCAAGGAGUUGGUGCCCGGAAUUAGUGUAAAGCUACGUACUAAGAACCAGUCAAGUGCUUGCUUGAUCUAGCUAGUAAAACGUGUUACUCCACAUGUUGGUUUGGUGUGGAACUGACAGAGACGAUAUUAUACUCCACAAGACGAACAAGCAUUGCUGACUAUAUCUAUAUUUUUUGUGAGUUGACUCUUUCUGUGUAUAUGUACGUAUGGUAGCAAAAGCUUAGGUUGUGCCAGAAGCAAAGAGACCAAUUAAGAAGCACGUUGAAUUUAUAAGACUGGUAUGGCAUGUAUAAAAAUAUUAAAUGCAAGGUUUGGUCUCUCUAUAGGUCACACUACCGGAAUCGCAUUCUUUGCCGAGUGUCUAAGACACUCGGCAAAGACUAUUUUACACUCGGUAAAGCCUUUGCCGAGUGUAACACUCGGCAAAGAACACGACCGUAGGGAUGGAUCUAUAUGUGGUGGGUUACAAGCGAUGUCUCCUUAAUGGAGAAAAGCUAAUGAGAUAGGUCGAUGGCCAAUGAAAAUGAUGGGGUAUCCCCUGGGCCUUAUAUACACGACCGUAGGGCACUCCAUAUACAUCAUGAUCACAUGUCUUCUAAAUAAUAGUGAACCGGCUGAACUGAUCUCUCGAAAAUACCGCCGACUUAUCCCUAAUCCGCCCCGAUAUUUGAGGACGCAAUGCGCGGGAAAGUCGGAUGAUUUCUUUGGAUAGCGCACAAUUCGACGGAUUGGUUGGGCUUGAGUCCGUUUCCUUCUCUGGUCGGCUCAUUCCGCCAAUAGCUCUAGUCCGACCCACGAAGGGAUUUCUUUGGACCACUAAUCUUAAGCAAAAUGUGCCACAGUUAGCCACUAACCAAAUAGAACCUAAAUCGUUCAAUAAACCAUUUUUCUUGUUACGCAACUAUCACAGUCCAGCAACAGCAACACGGUCUUCGAAAAAAAUUGAAAGGACAGAGUACACGAAAAGGGUGGUAGGAUUAAACGUUCAAAUAAGAUAACUGUAUUGUUUCAUCGGCAGGUUCUAGUAGCUGCUGGAGACUAUUUCAAGUCGGCUGAUUACUAGACAUUUUAAAAUUUGGAUCACGUACGUACUAUGUGAUUACUAGAAAUCUUCAACACGUAUGCAUGGUAGGUUUAAACGCUGAAAUAAGAUAACUGUAUUGUGUCAUCAGCAGGUGAUAGCUGCUAGAGACUAUUUCUUCAGGUCGGCUGAUAUGUUCAACCAAAGAUUUAUUCAGCCACUGAUACGUACACGUCGCCACAUGCGCUGUGGCAGGCUAUAUAACCUCACCAUCUCCAUGCCCAAAGCAUCAACAGCAUUUGUAGACACAAGCUAAGAAGCUCCGUAGCUAAAUUCAAAUAUUACAAACACAAAAGUGGAGUGCAGAACCAAAAUGGCUGCCUCGACCGUCCUUCUCGUUGCUUUUCUAGCAUUGGUCACUUCUCAUGCCAUUGCCUCUGAUCCUAGCCCGCUCCAAGACUUCUGUGUUGCCGACAAAGACUCUCCAGGUAUGAGUGCUCUCCUCUUGACUCAAGCAGUGUUCUUAUAAUAUAUACCUGAUUAAAUAAGGAUCAUUUGUUCAAACACACAUCUACGUACAAUAAGCAUUUUGGGGUAUGCAUAUCCUAUUAACAUGUUCUCCAUCUAACUGUUUGCUUUCGUCUAUGCAUGCAUCCAGUGAAGGUGAAUGGAUUUGUUUGCAAAGACCCUAUGGCUGUGAACGCUGACGACUUCUUCAAGGCUGCAAAACUUGAUCAGCCAAGGGACACCACCAAAAGCAAGGUGGGAUCCAACGUUACUUUGAUCAAUGUCAUGCAGCUGCCUGGACUCAACACGUUGGGGAUCUCGUUGGCUCGCAUUGACUACGCACCACUAGGUCAGAAUCCUCCACACACACACCCACGUGCCACUGAGAUUCUCACCGUGCUUGAGGGGACACUUUACGUCGGAUUUGUCACCUCCAACCAAGCUGACAGAAGUAACAAGCUAUUUGCCAAGGUUCUCAACAAGGGCGAUGUGUUUGUAUUCCCCCAAGGACUAAUCCACUUCCAGUUCAACCCAGUACAUGACAAGCCAGCAGUCGCGCUCGCUGCUCUAAGUAGCCAGAACCCUGGAGCUAUUACUAUUGCCAAUGCAGUCUUUGGAUCAAAGCCACCUAUCUCGGAUGAUGUCCUAGCUAAGGCCUUUCAGGUGCAAAAGGGGACAAUUGAUUGGCUUCAAGCUCAGUUCUGGGAGAACAACCACUACUAAAAAAAUCGAGUCUGAGUUCAAUAUAUGAGAAUAAAGAAAUGUACUUGUAUUUUACAUACUACUCUAUGUGUUAACCUUUUUCUAGGUUGCGACUGAUAAUAAAAUAAAUGUUUAGUAUUUAUGUACUAUAAUCGUAAGUUUGUGCCUAUUGCGGUUCCACCGGUGUGUCCUUAAUCAAAAAGUGAAUGUAACUAUAUCUAUAUUUUUUGUAACUAUAUCGUGUUACUCCACAUGUUGGUUUGGUGUGGAACUGACAGACGAUAUUAUACCCCACAAGACGAACAAGCAUUGCUAACUAUAUCUAUAUUUUUUGUGAGUUGACUCUUUCUGUGCAUAUGUACGUAUAGUAGCAAAAGCUUGGGUUGUGCCAGAAGCAAAGAGACCAAUUAAGAAGCACAUUGAAUUUAUAAGACUGGUAUGGCAUGUAUAAAAAUAUUAAAUGCAAGGUUUGGUCUCUCUAUAGGUGAUCAAUGUAUUGUUUCAGUAGCAGGUUAAUUCUAGCUGCCAGAGACUGCUUCUACUCUCUACUGAUGAUAGGUUAAACUUAAGGCUUAUUCAGCCAUUGAUACGUACAUGCAUGCGCUGCUGUGCAUUAUAUAUAUAUAUAUAUAUAUAUAUAUAUAUAUAUAUAUAUAUAUAUAUAUAUAUAUAUAUAUAUAUAUAUAUAUAUAUAUAUAUAUAUAUAUAUAUAUAUAUAUAUAUUAAGAGCCCUGGGCUUUCAAUAAUAGAGGAAGCCCAGGCUAGUCAAUAUGGGUAUUUUGGUUGAACCACACUGGGUCAACACGCACCAGUCACGGCGCCGUUACACCGUUUCCUCCGUCAGCCAGCCACCUCUCCCACGUUUCCUGUGUCUAAAACCGUUUCGCGCAAUCAACGGAGGCAGACCAGCGCCUGCAGGAAGAAAACCCCAGCCCGCAGACUCUCCUUUCGUUGGAGGCGACUCGCCAGGCGAUUUCUGCGCCUCCAAUCCAGCGCAGCGCCAAUCCACCGCCGCUCCAAUCCAGCGCCGUUCCAUUCCAGCUUACAUCCUUCAAUCUCCCAGCAUUGGAUCCCGAGUCAAGAAGUUUCAGGUAAUCCAACAUUGAAAUACCCCGAGGUUGCCGUCCAUUUUUUGAAGCAUUUGGGUCGAUUGAAGUGGAUUUGAUUGUAACCCUUAUUCUCCAGCUAAAUGUGUGAUUUGAAUGCGUUUAGACAUCUAUCUAAUCGGGUCAUUGCAUCGCGCAUUGCAUCUAUUUUUUUGUUCAGGAGCCCCGAUAUUAGAGCAUAUGUAUUUAUUCUAUAUCCCCACUAUCGCCCGACAUUCAUAGAUCUAGACAGAGGUAUUUACUGAUGAGUCAGCAUAGAGUACUAUCACACAAACAAAGUAACACAUAUAUGCUUUUUGUAUUUAAUAUAUAUGCAUAUCUUCAGUACUAUUUAUGCACAUUCACUUGAGUCAUUUGUUUACACAUUUGUUUUAUUAUAUAUGCAUAUAGUCCGUACUCUGUAUGAACAUUUACUUUAAAGAUUUGUUUUCACAUCUAUUUUAUUAUCAAAAUAUGCUUAUUUGUAUUUGAUAUAUAUGCAUAUCCUCAGUAAUGUUUAUGCACAUUCAAUUGAGUAACUUGUUUACACAUAUGUUUUAUUAUAUAUGCAUAUAGUCAGUAUUCUUUAUGCACAUUUACUCUAAUGAUUUGUUUUCACAUCUAUUUUAUUAUUUAAUAUGCUUAUUGUAUUUCAUAUAUAUGCAUAUCCUCAGUACUUUAUUAUGCCCAUUCACUUAAAUCAUUUGUGUACACAUCUGUUUUAUUAUAUAUAAAACAUACUCAUUGGAUUUGAUAUAUAUGUAUAUUGGCAGUAAUGUGUAUGCUCAUUAUUACACAAUUUUUAUGAACAUUUCGCAAUAUAAUAAGUAUAUUUGCAUUGUUCUAUUUACUUGAAUAAUUAGUUUACACUCAUGUUCAUUAUAUAUAUGUGUACAUACAGGUACUUUUAUUUUAAGCAAAAGUUAUUUAAAUAUUCAUGUUUGAAUAUGAGCUAAAUGUUUUUAUUACUAUGAACCAGUUAUUAAAAUAUGUUGUAUAGUUAGUUGAUGCAAAAAGGCUCUUGUUUUAUCAUGAUCCAUUUACAAUUAUAUGAAUUAUUAAAUCAAUCUUUAUGUUUGUAUAUAACAAUUGCUCAUUAAAUGAUCUCGCAUAAAUAUAAAAGGUAGUUUAAGUCAUGUAAUUCCAUUUAGCAUUAUAUAGUAUGCAUUUCAGAUAGUUAUAGUAAAAAUUAGUUUUUUUUGGCAUAUAUUCUUGCAUAAAUCAAUGUAUUUAAAAACAACUUCUUUUUUCUACAGAUUUAUUCAGUAUUUAGUCAUGAAGUCUGUUGAUCGCCCGCCCAGUAAUCUAAAAAGAUUAACCAUUGAAUCCAGUCAGGAGGUUUUUUCAAUUGACAUUUCCAGACGUACAAGAUCCAGCAGCUCAGCUCACCAAGAUGAUAUUCCACAAAAUCAGGAGCAGAAUGAGCCACAGCCAGCCCCAAUCCAUCGUGUUCGCAGAAAGGCUUUAGCUUGUCGUUUAAAAAGAAAACCUCCUGCUCCAGCCACUCUCUCUGACGACGAUUUCAUGGAUGCUCCAUCGUUAAAGCGUCAAUUCAGAUCUGCAUCACCUUCUCCUUCAGAACAAAUCAGUACAAAGAAGUUAAAAGUACCUUCUCCUCAAGUUCCGACCGUGAAAAGAAGCCCAAAGUAUAAUAUCAUUGCAAAAAAAAACUCUCCUAAAAAGAAGUCUCCUGUAAAAUCACAGGUAAUAUUUAUAUAUUUAUGUUUAUUCAUGUGUUAAUCAUGGUGCCCAAUCAAUUUUGUAUUUUCCCCCACUUUAAAUUUAUGUAUAUUAUUAUCAACAAAUAUGGUGUUUACUUUUUUUAGUGUUGUAGACUAGUUAUUUACAAGCCUGUAAUAAAUAUCCCUUGUAUGUAAAUAUAGUAUCAUUAGUUCUAACUAUAUAUAUACUUUGUGUAUUAAUGCAUAUUCAUUUAUGCUUCCAAAAAUUGAAUAUCCGAUGCAUUCCCUUUGAUGUUAAUGUAUCAUCAUGGAUAAUGAGCGAUCGACAGUGUGAUGCCGUCGCUAGGUUGGGAUUUUCUAGUAUAUUUGAUUUGCGAACUGAUGCAUUGGAGAGCAGAUCACUCAUCAGGUGGUUGAUGGACAAAUUAGAUCCACUUGACAUGACCAUACGCCCAGGGGCUGGCAAGGAACUUAAGAUAACAAAAGAUACGGUUCAUCUGAUUUUGGGGUUGCCAUGUGCCGGAAGAGGUAGAGAGUUUAUUGAUUGGUACGGUGAAAUCGAUGCUGCUGCAAAUCUGAGACGUCAUCUCAAUGUUUGUAAAGAAGAACUUGAUGUUGUCAAGCUUCAAGAUAAGAUAGUGCUUGGCAACGAUGAUGAGCUAUCAAUUAGAUGUUUUUUCUCAUUCUAUUCAAUCGACUUCUGUUUCCUUCUGCUUCUUGGGGCAUUACAAACAAUGAGGUACUCAUGACUUCAAACAUGGCCCGAAUGGCUGAUAUUGACUGGUGUCAACUAGUUUACACGGAUUUGUGUGAUGCUGCCGCACGUUGGCAUAAAAGGAACAAAACAAACAUCACAACAACAAUAUAUUGAUGCUCACUCAUUGUUUUAGUAAGUUAUUUUUUAUUGUUUACUGUGCAUAUAUAUGGUAUGCAAAUAUUUGUUAUGUACUAAUUUUAUAUAUUUGUGCAUUCCUUUUUUCAGAUUUACUAUCUUGAUCACCUACAUCACCCUGCUGCUCCUGAUAACAAAUAUGGUACUCCACGCAUUAAGUUUUUUGAUAAUGAGACCAUAAGAGAGUUGGCUCGGGGUGACAGACGCCCCCCCCCCCCCCCGUAAAACUGGUGAACCAUUCGGAUAUGCAGAGGUUAGACACAAACAAUUUUUGUCCUGUUAUGCAGAUGUUAAAAUAUUAUUACUGCUAACUGUUCUAUUUGAUUUUAUACAGUUUCGUAGCCGUUCAGAAACGUGUUACGUCAUUGCUCCAGAACGGCCUGUUUCUGCCGUUUUCAACAUAUAUGUACCACGUAUCAAGCAUUUGAUUGGCAACAAGUUGCAAUGUUUGCCCUCUCAGCAUCGGCCAAUGUUUCAAUCAAUGUUUGAUGCUCAUGACAAAGAGGUGGAUAAGUACUGUGAUUCCCUUCAGCUGAGUCAUCAGAUGAUUGUUUCGAAGCAGAUUGAACUCUCUGAAACCUUUGGUGAAAUGAUCGAUGAAGUACUGAGAGCUACAACGCAGCGCGAUUCACAGCAAGAAGGUUUUAGUAUUUAUGUGUAUUUAUUUAACAUGACCAAGUUCACGAAAUAUUGCCUGGAAAAUUAUAUAUAGUUAUACGAUCUCAAAUUAUUUAUUAUAUGCAGUUUUGUAUAUACAACUUAUGCAUUAAUUUAUACUCAUACAAGCAGCAACAUAUUUUUCAGUUGAUUUCAUUUUUUGAAAACUGUAUUUUAUUUAUGCAUCCUGAUAGUAUAUAGGUGUAGUUUGCAAAUGUGUAUGUUUAACCAUUUUUUUAUAACAAUACAUUUAUAUUGCAGUUACAUUCCAUUAACAACUACUAUACUAUUAUAUGUUCCAAAUGUAGAUAACCCUCCCACUACCUCAAUGCCUCCAACAAAUGCUCGUGUAUCCUCACCACCUGUUCCAACACCUGAUAAACAACAACAUGAUCAGGAAAUCCAUGUUCCUACUGAUCAUAUCAAAGUAUCAGAUGAUGUAAGUUUUCUCAUACAAACUAUAUUAUAUUUUGCAUACAAGUUUCUGUUUACUCAAAUCUCAGUUGUUUCCAUUACAGAUUAUCAGUGGGAACGUCUGCAAAAAAGAUGAAGUUAUGGAUGCCCCUAUUUUUGACAAGACUCCAAAAUCAAAUGUUUGACUUCCUUAUAUCACAAUUAUUAUUAUUUCGUUUACACUGUAUGCAAGUAACAUUAAUAUAUAUGCAUGCUUUAUUUUUUUAAUUCACCAGGCUCCCACAACAGUCAAUCCUGCUGCUCCUGAGUUAACACCAGAUAUAAAUAGUGUAAGUAUUUAUACCUUCAUCAUAUUAUGCUAAUAUUAUUUUAUAACCUAUGUUUCAUUACGUUUAUAUUAAUAAAUUUAUUGGUUACAGGAAGGACAAAAAUCUGUUACACAUGAUAUUCCUGUAUCUGGUGCACCUCAGUUCGAUAAAACCCCUCUGACAGAUGUAAGACAUGUUGUCUUAUAUUCUCAUAUUGUGUCUAUACAUACACUAAGAUAUACAUAUUUAUGCAAUUGUUUACUAACAUAUAUUCAUAUAUUAGGCAACUACUGACCUUGUUGCAAAGGAUAGUUCCUCUAAAGCUGCAGUUGCUGAACCUCCCCACGUGUCACGUGAAGACUGUGCUCGCAACCUACUUAAGUUUAUUUUGUCAGGAAAAAUAGAUUUGAGCAUGUAUGUAUUAGUUAUUCAAAUUCCAAUUAAGUAUAAUUAGAUGAAUUGUAAAUAAAGUUUUAUUUUUUCCAGGUCUAUCAUUAAUUUUGGAGGAUUUGGAGGUUCUGUCCUCGAUGUUGUCCAGUCAUUUGGUCCCAAUAAAUGUCUUGAGAAUACUUUCAUGCAGGGAUUUAUCGACUGUAUUUGUGAAGAUGAUGUAUUAUACAACCCAGGUUCUGUAAUCAACACUCUAAUACUGAAUGUCAAUGUUGGGGUAAUUUUUCCUCCACAGCUUUGUAUCUUAUUGCAACCCUUACUGUAUAAAUGUACAAUAUUAAUCAAUUUAUUUUUUUUGUCCAGACCGUUUUGAAUAUCGAGGAGUUCGAACAGCACAGUUCAAAUCCACAGCCCUUCUCAACAUCACUUCUUAUAGAACAACUUGAACCGACGCUUCCUUCAGAUGAAGUUCUGAACCAAAUUAAAUUGGUGAGCCCCAAUCAGUUUCAUUUGUAAUUAUGUUAUAAUGUUCUUUUGGUCAUUAGUUUUAUGUUGUAUUAGCUUUAAUUUUCCAUAUGCAUAGUAUUAAUCAUUUAUAAACUUACAUAUACAUUUAACAGAUCCUGGUUCCUAUGCUACGCCGUGGCCACUGGACCCUAUAUGCAAUCAACUUUGAACGUCGUCGAAUAGACAUUUUAGAUUCAAAUCCUUAUGGUACAUUGCUUGGAGGCACUACCUGGAAACAAAUCCAUAAUGAUCAAAUGAUGAUAAAUGGAACGAAGAUACCUUGGUCCAGAUUAAUAAUGAGAAGACUUAGCAUUGCCUUACAUGAAGCUCGACCUGAGUCAACUGUACCAAAGUUUGGCAACUACAAGAUUGGGCUUCUUCCCAAUUGUCCAACCAUGACACCAGGGUCAAAUGAUUGUGGUUUUUUGUCGCAAACUUCCUCCGCUACUACGAUUUUGAUGAUGGCGACUUAUCAGAAUUUUAUACUCCGGUAUGUUACUAGAUUAGUGUUCUGAUCUUGCAUAUAUUACUCCUUCAGAUUUAAUACUAGCAUUAAUUUGAUAUUAUGACUAUUUCAGGAUGAACCAUUGGACCAACGUGCCUUUGUUCUGCAUUAUCUGACCUUUCAUCGCAACAACAGGGUUGUCCCCCUUCAUGCAGAACUGCUGCCUUUCAAGUAUGCUCCAAGGAAACGCCGCUGUUCGAAAUCCAAGACUUAGAUAUCAUAGUUGAACAUGAUUCCCUAUGGGAUCCAGAAAACUGUUUAUGUUACUUGUUAAGUCACUUAUGUCAGGCCUCUGAUCAUGUGUUUGAUACUCCAUGUGCCACUUAUGUUCGUUGUGUCCAAUGUCUAUGCUACUUCGUAUCAGUUUUUAUUUGAAGUGUGUUAAACAUAAGUGUUACCAGAAUGUCUACUUAUGUUAUCUGUUAAGAAAUUCUAUAUUGUUUCAUCUCCAGAUUGUUAGAUGGUUAAUCGUUUUGCUUCCAAUGUUUGGCGUAUUUGUAUUAUCAUAUUGUUUUAAUAUUCAUGUUUUAUGCAUAAUAUAUACUUCCUUAUUUUAUAUACACUAGGUUCAUCUUUUAUAUAUUUUCACAUGCUAAUUAUGCUAAUUGUAACAAGUGGUUAUGCUAUAUCCUAUUUGAUGUAUCUGAAGUGCAAAACCGACGUAUGUAAUACCAUUUGAUGAGUAUUGUUAACUGUAUACAGUUUUAUAUACCAUUUAUGUCUAGACCUUCCGAUUGCCAAACGUUCAAUGCCAAUUUGUUGUACAUAUUCAGUUACAUAAUUUGUGUAAUUGUCUAUAUGUAUGCAACAUUUUAUAGUUUUAUAUCAACGAAUUAUAUAACCCUGUCAUGCAAACUAUUUAAUUUCCAACAAACUAGAGCAUAAGUCAUUGUGCUAUUACAAGUUUCUACUAAAUCGACCACUCUUUAGUCACACUUCAAAUUAUUCGUCCAAAUCCAUAUGCUCAUCGGCUUCUUCAUUUUCCACUUCUUCAUCAAUACGAUGUUUUUUAGCAGUCGACGUUUCAUUCCAAUGUGGAGCAGUUGUUUUAUUGUUUAGUCUUGAUCCGGCUGGUCGUCCUCUCUUUCGAUUAGCCAGUUUUGCUAGCCUUGCCCUAUUCUCUUCCACAGACAGACAUGUUCUGCUGUUAUGCCCAUCUGCUAUACCACAUAAUUGGCAUCUCCUAUUCUUCUUUUUCUCUCCUUUCGCACCUAGUCUCAUUAUCCUAUCUUCUGAAUUUUUGAUUGUCCGUCCUUUUGGUCUUGCACGAUCCGGCAUACUCAGAUUUAUAACAUCCACAUUAAAAUCUAACCUCUGCAUAAUAAUAUAAGUUAAUAUUUAGUAUAUGCAUAUUUACAUAUAUUUAUACCAAUCAGUAAAAUCAUUUAUCAAUGCUCACCUUUUUAGCUUCUAUGCAGCAAUAUGUUCCAUUUGUUCAUGUGCUACAUGACACGGAGAACUUGUACCACCAACCUCAUGUGAAAUUCUCAUGUUGUCCUCCUUUAGAUCCCAACCCAAAUACAUCAACAUUUACAUGCAGCAUAAAUAUAUAUUUUCAUUUUAGACUAAUGAACAAUAUUAUUUUAAUAUGUACCUGGUUACCAGUUGUUAUUAGUGUAUGUAUAGACAAAAUAUGAGAAUAUAAGACAACAUGUCUUACAUCUGUCAGAGGGGUUGUAUCGAACUGAGGUGCACCAGAUACAAGAAUAUCACGUGUAACAGAUUUUUGUCCUUCCUGUAACCAAUAAAUUUAUUAAUAUAAACGUAAUGAAACAUAGGUUAUAAAAUAAUAUUAGCAUAAUAUGAUGAAGGUGUAAAUACUUACACUAUUUAUAUCUGGUGUUAACUCAGGAGCAGCAUGAUUGACUGUUGUGGGAGCCUGGUGAAUUAAAAAAAUAAAUCAUGCAUAUAUAUUAAUGUUACUUGCAUAUAGUGUAAACGAAAUAAUAAUAAUUGUGAUAUAAGGAAGUCAAACAUUUGAUUUUGGAGUCUUGUCAAAAAUAGGGGCAUCCAUAACUUCAUCUUUUUUGCAGACAUUCCCACUGAUAAUCUGUAAUGGAAACAACUGAGAUUUGAGUAAACAGAAACUUGUAUGCAAAAUAUAAUAUAGUUUGUAUGAGAAAACUUACAUCAUCUGAUACUUUGAUAUGAUCAGUAGGAACAUGGAUUUCCUGAUCAUGUUGCUGUUUAUCAGGUGUUGGAACAGGUGGUGAGGAUACAGGAGCAUUUGUUGGAGGCAUUGAGGUAGUGGGGGGGUUAUCUACAUUUGGAACAUAUAAUAAUAUAGUAGUUGUUAAUGGAAUGUAACUGCAAUAUAAAUGUAUUGUUAUUAAAAAAAUGGUUAAACAUACACAUUUGCAAACUACACCUAUAUACUAUCAGGAUGCAUAAAUAAAAUACAGUUUUCAAAAAAUGAAAUCAACUGAAAAAUAUGUUGCUGCUUGUAUGAGUAUAAAUUAAUGCAUAAGUUGUAUAUACAAAACUGCAUAUAAUAAAUAAUUUGAGAUCGUAUAACUAUAUAUAAUUUUCCAGGCAAUAAUUCAUGAACUUGGUCAUGUUAAAUAAAUACACAUAAAUACUAAAACCUUCUUGCUGUGAAUCGCGCUGCGUUGCAGCUCUCAGUACUUCAUCGAUCAUUUCACCAAAGGUUUCAGAGAGUUCAAUCUGCUUCGAAACAAUCAUCUGAUAACUCAGCUGAAGGGAAUCACAGUACUUAUCCACCUCUUUGUCAUGAGCAUCAAACAUUGAUUGAAACAUUGGCCGAUGCUGAGAGGGCAAACAUUGCAACUUGUUGCCAAUCAAAUGCUUGAUACGUGGUACAUAUAUGUUGAAAACGGCAGAAACAGGCCGUUCUGGAGCAAUGACGUAACACGUUUCUGAACGGCUACGAAACUGUAUAAAAUCAAAUAGAACAGUUAGCAGUAAUAAUAUUUUAACAUCUGCAUAACAGGACAAAAAUUGUUUGUGUCUAACCUCUGCAUAUCCGAAUGGUUCACCAGUUUUACAGGGGGGGGCGUCUGUCACCCCGAGCCAACUCUCUUAUGGUCUCAUUAUCAAAAAACUUAAUGCGUGGAGUACCAUAUUUGUUAUCAGGAGCAGCAGGGUGAUGUAGGUGAUCAAGAUAGUAAAUCUGAAAAAAGGAAUGCACAAAUAUAUAAAAUUAGUACAUAACAAAUAUUUGCAUACCAUAUAUAUGCACAGUAAACAAAAAAAAAUUACUUACUAAAACAAUAAGUGAGCAUCCAUAUAUUGUUGUUGUGAUGUUUGUUUUGUUCCUUUUAUGCCAAUGUGCGGCAGCAUCGCACAAAUCCGUGUAAACUAGUUAACACCAGUCAAUAUCAGCCAUUCGGGCCAUGUUUGAAGUCAUGAGUACCUCAUUGUUUGUAAUGCCCCAAGAAGCAGAAGGAAACAGAAGUCGAUUGAAUAGAAUCAGAAAAAACAUCUAAUUGAUAGCUCAUCAUCGUUGCCAAGCACUAUCUUAUCUUGAAGCUUGACAACAUCAAAUUCUUCUUUACAAACAUUGAGAUGACGUCUCAGAUUUGCAGCAGCAUCGACUUCACCGUACCAAUCAGUAAACUCUCUACCUCCUCCGGCACAUGGCAACCCCAAAAUCAGAUGAACUGUAUCUUUUGUUAUCUUAAGUUCCUUGCUAGCCCCUGGGCGUAUGGUCAUGUCAUGUGGAUCCAAUUUGUCCAUCAACCACCUGAUGAGUGAUCUGCUCUCUAAUGCAUCAGUUCGCAGAUCAAAUAUACUAGAAAAUCCCAACCUAGCGAUGGCAUCACGCUGCCGAUCGCUCAUUAUCCAUGAUGAUACAAUAACAUCAAAGGGAAUGCAUCGGAUAUUCAAUUUCUGGAAGCAUAAAUGAAUAUGCAUUAAUACACAAAGUAUAUAUAUAGUUAGAACUAAUGAUACUAUAUUUACAUACAAGGGAUAUUUAUUACAGGCUUGUAAAUAACUAGUCUACAACACUAAAAAAAGUAAACACCAUAUUUGUUGAUAAUAAUAUACAUAAAUUUAAAGUGGGGGAAAAUAUAAAAUUGAUUGGGCACCAUGAUUAACACAUGAAUAAACAUAAAUAUAUAAAUAUUACCUGUGAUUUUACAGGAGACUUCUUUUUAGGAGAGUUUUUUUUGCAAUGAUAUUAUACUUUGGGCUUCUUUUCACGGUUGGAACUUGAGGAGAAGGUACUUUUAACUUCUUUGCACUGAUUUGUUCUGAAGGAGAAGGUGAUGCAGAUCUGAAUUGACACUUUAACGAUGGAGCAUCCAUGAAAUCGUCGUCAGAGAGAGUGGCUGGAGCAGGAGGUUUUCUUUUUAAACGAUAAGCUAAAGCCUUUCUGCGAAAACGAUGGAUUGGGGCUGGCUGUGGCUCAUUCUGCUCCUGAUUUUGUGGAAUAUCAUCUUGGUGAGCUGAGCUGCUGGAUCUUGUACGUCUGGAAAUGUCAAUUGAAAAAACCUCCUGACUGGAUUCAAUGGUUAAUCUUUUUGGAUUACUGGGCGGGCGAUCAACAGACUUCAUGACUAAAUACUGAAUAAAUCUGUAGAAAAAAGAAGUUGUUUUUAAAUACAUUGAUUUAUGCAAGAAUAUAUGCCAAAAAAACUAAUUUUUACUAUAACUAUCUGAAAUGCAUACUAUAUAAUGCUAAAUGGAAUUACAUGACUUAAACUACCUUUUACAUUUAUGCGAGAUCAUUUAAUGAGCAAUUGUUAUAUACAAACAUAAAGAUUGAUUUAAUAUUUCAUAUAAUUGUAAAUGGAUCAUGAUAAAACAAGAGCCUUUUUGCAUCAACUAACUAUACAACAUAUUUUAAUAACUGGUUCAUAGUAAUAAAAACAUUUAGCUCAUAUUCAAAUAUGAAUAUUUAAAUAACUUUUGCUUAAAAUAAAAGUACCUGUAUGUACACAUAUAUAUAAUGAACAUGAGUGUAAACUAAUUAUUCAAGUAAAUAGAACAAUGCAAAUAUACUUAUUAUAUUGCGAAAUGUUCAUAAAAAAUGUGUAAUAAUGAGCAUACACAUUACUGCCAAUAUACAUAUAUAUCAAAUCCAAUGAGUAUGUUUUAUAUAUAAUAAAACAGAUGUGUACACAAAUGAUUUAAGUGAAUGGGCAUAAAAAAGUACUGAGGAUACACAUAUAUAUGAAAUACAAUAAGCAUAUUAAAUAAUAAAAUAGAUGUGAAAACAAAUCAUUAGAGUAAAUGUGCAUAAAGAAUACUGACUAUAUGCAUAUAUAAUAAAACAAAUGUGUAAACAAGUUACUCAACUGAAUGUGCAUAAACAUUACUGAGGAUAUGCAUAUAUAUCAAAUACAAAUAAGCAUAUUUUGAUAAUAAAGUAGAUGUGAAAACAAAUCUUUAAAGUAAAUGUGCAUACAGAGUAUGGACUAUAUGCAUAUAUAAUAAAACAAAUGUGUAAACAAAUGACUCAAGUGAAUGUGCAUAAAUAGUACAGAAGAUAUGCAUAUAUAUUAAAUACAAAAAGCAUAUAUGUGUUACUUGGUUUGUGUGAUAGUACUCUAUGCUGACUCAUCAGUAAAUACCUCUGUCUAGAUCUAUGAAUGUCGGGCGAUAGUGGGGAUAUAGAAUAAAUACAUAUGCUCUAAUACCAGGGCUCCUGAACAAAAAAAUAGAUGCAAUGCGCGAUGCAAUGACUCGAUUAGAUAGAUGUCUAAACGCAUUCAAAUCACACAUUUAGCUGGAGAAUAAGGGUUACAAUCAAAUCCACUUCAAUCGACCCAAAUGCUUCAAAAAAUGGACGGCAACCUCGGGGUAUUUCAAUGUUGGAUUUCCUGAAACUUCUUGACUCGGGAUCCAAUGCUGGCAGAUUGAAGGAUGUAAGCUGGAAUGGAACGGCGCUGGAUUGGAGCGGCGGUGGAUUGGCGCUGCGCUGGAUUGGAGGCGCGGAAAUCGCCUGGCGAGUCGCCUCCAACGAAAGGAGAGUCUGCGGGCUGGGGUUUUCUUCCUGCAGGCGCUGGUCUGCCUCCGUUGAUUGCGCGAAACGGUUUUAGACACAGGAAACGUGGGAGAGGUGGCUGGCUGACGGAGGAAACGGUGUAACGGCGCCGUGACUGGUGCGUGUUGACCCGGUGUGGUUCAACCAAAAUGCCCAUAUUGACUAGCCUGGGCUUCCUCUAUUAUUGGAAGCCUAGGGCUCUUAAUAUAUAAACUAUAUAUAUAUAUAGUCCUGGGCUCUGUUUAACUAUAUGAAGCCCGGACCACCCGCCCAGUUGAUCAGACGCACCAUCCGGUCCACCCACUAUAAUGUUUAUACGCUUAGUUAUAUACAGGUUUACGCUCAUGUAUCAUCGUAUAAAACCAACCACUCUACCUAGCCUUCCACGAUGGCUGAGACUAGGGUUUCAGUGGCGGCGGUUACGCGACACGAGCGAGCGCGGCAAAGCCAGCACGACCGCGGCGGACAAGCAUCCCCAUAGACGAGAUCCAUGGCGGAUCGCCUCCCCGUCAUCGUUAAAGAGGUGCCUUCCAUUCGUUUCCCUCAUUUUCUUCCCUCCCCUAAUCUUACCUCAUUUCCUCCAAGUGCCGGUGCUACAUCUCCAGACUGCCCCUGUUCCGUGCGGACCCGCUCUCCAGCGCGACUGCACGGGUGUUGUUCCUAGCGGUGGUGGUGUUCCGUGGCGCGACAGCGAAAUCGACGAUCGCAGGAACGCGCUCGACUUCGACUCUCUAGGCGCUGCCAACCGCAUUGUCCCUCGUGAGGACGCCCCUCGCGUGCCAACCGCUGUGUCUGCGGCGACUUGGCCACCCCUUCACCGAUCAGAUCCACAUCGCCAACGGGCUCACCGUCGACGACCCUGACUCGUCGCUCAGUUCGGGCCAGGAGUUUGUCAUCCCACUCCCCUGUUAGGUAGAACAAGUGGAGGUGCAGUUCUAAUCUUGGCCGCUACCGUGGUAUAUGCUGAUUUCUGCUAAUUUGGUAAUUUGAAUUUUCCAAUGUAGAAAUGCAGAGCCAAUAUCACUAUUUGGUACUGCCUGAUCCUACUCUCUUAUCUGUUUAGGCCAUAAGACUAUGUGUUUGCAUAAAAUAAAUUCACUAUUGUGUUAAAAAAGAACAUAAAUUCACUAUUUAUUUUUUAUGUCCGGUAUUAUCAAUCCAUGUCCCCUGAAUGCAGAAGUUUCACCCAAGAGAUAAUCUAAAUUCAUGGAUCGAAUGCUAAGGGGCAUUAUGGGUUGUUAUACUGUCUUAUGUAGUCUAUUCAUUUUAUUAUGCACUUGUUUAUAGUUUAGACACUGUAUCUGGUGUCACUACUUACUAUAUUAUGCUGUUCCCGGCGAGUUAAGUUUAGUUGAAGCUUGUGUCACUAGAUUAUACUAAGUUCAGGCUAUAACCUGCUCAGUCAUUGCACAUAUCAUACCUGCACAAGAUUGCAACACCAUGCAUCAACACAUACAGUGGGCAGUAUAUUAUCCUAAAACAAAAAUAUUGGUAGCUUCUAUCCACCUUGAACCAGUUUUAUGUGAAUUUGCAAUAGUCAACUAAUUCUUGUGUCACAAAUAUUAUUUUUUUGUCUAGUUUACUAGUGUCCAAGCUACAUUGACCGCAUGCUUAAUUAGUCACCAGAUCAAGGCUUCUCUUCCAUAAGAGAUUUUGUUUUUUACCAGAUUGCAGCUAAGCCAGAAGAAAAGGUGGAAGAAGAGCCAGAAUUCCCAUUAGAAGUAAUUUCAAAUGUUGGAGGUGUGCCCAUAGUGAUGGAUGAAACUAUUGGGGUUUAAUUUUGAUAGGGACACAAAAUCUUCCAUUCCAGGGCGUUAUUGAAAGGGAAAUGUGCCAUUGGGCCAUUUCUAUAAAUGUUUUGGUGAUUAGAUGCCCAACAAAUAUUAUUUUUGGUUCAUAUGUGCUAAGUACUAAAGAGAUGCAAAUCAAGAAUCAAGGUAUGACUCUAGCCUUAGUGAAUUGUUUUUGGUACUAACAUAUUCCUCUAAGUUCUAGGAACCUUGUUAAAUCAAAUGAAAUUGGAUUGAAGAAGUUUGGCUAAAAGCAGCCAGAGAUGCACCAGCCUGCGGUGCACCGGACUAUCCGGUGAGCCAACAGCGCCCGCUCCAACGGUCGGCAGCGCAAUCAGCGAGCGACGCGUGGCCAGGGCCAAUGGUCACUUGGUCGCAUCGGACAGUGUCCGGUGUGCCAAGUGGACCGAGGGCUCAACGGUCGGCUUCGCCAAAAAAUGAAAGAAAUCAAGCACUGUUCAUGUCCGGUGGUGCACCGGACUGUCCGGUGCGCCAGCGGACAGAAGGCAAGAAUUGCCUACCAAAUGGAGUUCCAACGACUCCUAGCUGCCUUAGGGCUAUAAAAGGGACCCCUAGGCAAAUGGAGCAGCACACCAAGCCUCCAGUGAACAUCUUAAGACGCCUAGACUCCGCAAGCACGCAUCUGGAUCUUCACGUUUGAGAUUUGAGCACGUCUGGAGUUGUAAACUCCCUACGCUAUGUUUGUGUGCUCUUUUCUUGACUUGUGUGUGUAUCGUUGUUACGACUCUAGCUCUUGCGUGUGUUUGUUUCCCUCCCUUACUCUUGUGGCUUUUAUUGUGAUCAACAUUGUAAGGGUGAGAGGCUCCAACUUAUGGAGAUUCCUCACAAACGGGAAACGACUAUAAGGACGAAAACUGUGGUACUCAAGGUUGAUCAUUGGAUCACUUGAGAGGGAUUGAGUGCAAUCCUUGACCGAAGGAGGUCACCACAACGUGGAAUUGGCAUUGGCUGAACCACGGGAUAAAACCACCAUGUCUCUUGCAUUACUUUUCAUUGUGAUUGGUUUCUCUCCUUGAGUUCUCACUUAAUCACUUGUGCUAUUGUUCCUAAGUUCAAUACUCAUUUCAAAGGAAGAAUCAAUUGAAGAGUUCUCUCUAUAACAUCUUGGUUUGAAUUUUGCUAACAUAUCAUCAACCAAGUUUGUGCUAUUUAGUGUUAAUUUUUACAGGAUCACCUAUUCACCCCCCUCUAGGUGCUCUCAAUUGGUAUCAGAGCUGUACUCUUCAUUAAGGGACUAACCGCCCGAAGAGAUGGAUCCUAAAGGCAAGGGGAUGGUAGUCAACGACAAAGAGAAGGAGACCCUCUACGUCAACGAGCCAAAAGACGACAAGCCCACUGACUCAGGCUCAAGUCACAAAAAGAGGGAUGUAAAGAAGAAGAGGCGCAUGAAGAAGAUCAUCUACUACGACAGCGACGCCUCCUCUUCUUCACCAAGGGAUGACAACGACGAAGACUCUUCAUCGAAGAAAACGGUUAAUCAAAACUAUUAUUUUGAUUAUUCUCGCAUCCCUUACAAUUUGAAUGCCCAUUUACUCUCCAUUCCACUUGGAAAACCCCACACUUUGAUGGAGAUGACUAUUCAUUUUGGAGUCAUAAAAUGCGUAGUCACUUAUUUUCCCUCCAUCCUAGUAUUUGGGAAAUUGUUGAAAAUGGAAUGCAUUUCGAUAGCACUGAUAAUCCAGUAUUUAUCAAUGAGAAAAUACAUAAAAAUGCCCAAGCCACUACUAUUUUGCUAGCAUCUCUAUGCAGGGAUGAAUAUAACAAAGUCAGCGAAUUGGACAAUGCCAAGCAAAUAUGGGAUACCCUCAAGAUCUCUCACGAGGGUAAUGACGCCACUAUGAUUACCAAGAUGGAAUUGGUGGAAGGCGAGCUGGGGAGAUUCGCCAUGAUAAGGGGAGAGGAGCCAACUCAAACAUACAACAGGCUCAAGACCCUUGUCAACAAAAUUCGAAGCUAUGGAAGCACAAGAUGGACGGAUCAUGACGUCAUCCGACUCAUGCUAAGGUCAUUUACUGUUAUUGAUCCCCAUCUUAUAAAUCUUAUUCAUGAGAACCCCAGGUACACCAAGAUGACGCCCGAGGAAAUUCUCGAAAAAUUUGUGAGCGGGCGCAUGAUGGUAGAGAAAGCGAGGUAUGUGGACGAUGCUUUAAACGGACCACUUCCUCUCCACGAGUCGCAGCCCGUUGCUCUCAAAGCAACCAGCAGCAAGGAGGCACUACCUAGCAAGGUAGCACAAGUGGAGGCUACCGGGCUCAACGAGCACGAAAUGGCGCUCAUCAUCAAGCGCUUCAAGACCGCCUUGAAGGGACGCAAGGAGUAUCCAACAAGAACAAAUCAAGGGGAAAGCGCUCCUGCUUCAAGUGCGGUAAGUCUGGUCAUUUCAUAGCACAAUGUCCCGAUAAUGACAAUGACCAGGCACAAGAAAAGAAAGGGAAGAAGGAGAGAAAGAAGAACUAUAGGAAGGCGAAGGGUGAGGCACAUAUUGGAAAAGAAUGGGACUCCAACUGCUCUUGAUCCAACUCUGAUGAUGAAGGACUAGCUGCCUCGGCCUUCGACAAGUCCUCCCUCUUCCCCAACGAACGCCACACGUGCCUUAUGGCAAGGAGAAUAAGGUACGUAUUAGAGAUAACCCUAAGUAUUCUUCUUCUAGCGAUGAGGAAUCUUCUGACGAUGAAAUAGAUUAUAGUGAUUUAUUUAAAGGAUUAGAUAGAUCUAAGGUAGAUAAAAUAAAUGAAUUAAUUGAUGCUCUUAAUGAAAAGGAUAGGUUGCUAGAAAAGCAAGAAGAUAUUCUAUAUGACGAACAUGAUAAAUUUAUUAAUGUUCAAAAAUCUCUUGCUCUAGAAAUUAAGAAAAAUGAAAUAUUGUCUUCUGAGCUGUCUACCUGUCAUGAUUCUAUUUCUAGUAUAAAGAAUUUGAAUGUUGAUUUAAAUACUAAGCUAGAAAAAUUUAAUGUGGCUAGUUCAUGUGUAGAGCAUGUUGUAAUCUGCAAUAGGUGUAAAGAUUUUAACAUUGAUGCUUGUAAAGAACAUGUUUCUACCAUUCAUAGACUAAAUAAUGAUGUUGCAAGUCUUAAUGCUCAACUUAAGACUUGCAAGGGUGAUUAUGAAAAACUCAAAUUUGCUAGGGAUGCCUACACCAUUGGUAGACACCCUUCAAUUAAGGAUGGACUUGGUUUCCAAAAGGGGACCAAGAACUUGGCAAGCCAAAGGACUUCCAAUCUCAACAAGGAGAAAGGGAAGACUCCUAUGGCUAGUAGUUCUCAAAAGAACCAUGCUUAUCUUUAUAAGAAAGUUACUAAUGUUGCUGAUCAUGACAAGUAUCAUAAUCAUUCUGUUUUUCAUGUAUGUCAUGAUGAUCUAUUUAGUUCUCAUGCCAUGUUUGCAUCUAGCUCUUCAUAUGCUCAUGGUAGGAAUAAACCUAGGUGCCAUCAUGUUGUUUCUCAUGCACCUAGGAAAGUAUCCACUGGUCCAACUACUAUUUAUCAUACAUGUGAUGCUUCAUUUGUACUGACAUGUAAAAAUGCUAAAGUAGUUGCUAGAAAGUUGGGAUCUAAAUGCAAGAGAGACAAAACUUGCAUUUGGGUUCCAAAUUCUGUUGUAACUAACCUUGUAGGACCCAACAAGAGUUGGGUACCUAAAACCCAAACUUAAUUACCUUGCAGGUUUAUGCAUCUGAGGGCUCAAGCUGGAUUAUUGAUAGCGGAUGCACAAACGACAUGACGGGGAGAAGAAAAUGUUUACCUCUUACGUCAAGAACAGAGAUUCCCAAGACACUAUCAUCUUUGGAGAUGGGAACCAAGGCAAGGUUAAAGGCUUAGGCAAAAUUGCCAUCACAACCGAGCACUCGAUCUCAAAUGUGUUUUUAGUAGAAUCGCUCGGGUACAAUUUAUUGUCUGUAAGCCAAUUAUUUCAUAUGGGCUAUAAUUGUUUAUUUACAAAUAUUGAUGUAUUUGUCUUUAGAAGAAGUGAUGGUUCAUUAGCCUUUAAGGGUGUAUUAGACAUCAAGCUCUACAUAGUUGAUUUCUCAAAAGAGAAUGCCGAUCUAGAUGCAUGCUUAAUCGCUAAGACUAAUAUGGGCUGGCUCUGGCACCGCCGUCUAGCACAUGUUGGAAUGAAGAACCUUCAUAAACUUCUAAAGGGAGACCAUGUGUUAGGACUAACCGAUGUCUGUUUUGAGAAAGACAGACCUUGUGUAGCAUGCCAGGCAGGAAAUCGGGUGGGAAGUACUCAUCAAUGCAAAAACGUGAUGACAACAUCAAGACCACUGAACUCCUACAUAUGGAUCUCUUCGGGCCCGUUGCCUAUCUCAGCAUUGGGGGAAGUAAGUAUGGUCUUGUUAUAGUUGAUGAUUUUUCUCGCUUCACUUGGGUGUUCUUUUUGCAGGAUAAAUCUAAAACCCAAGGAACCCUAAAGCGCUUCUUAAGGAGAGAUCAAAACAAAUUUGAGCUAAAGGUGAAAAAGAUAAGAAGCGAUAAUGGAUCUGAGUUCAAGAACCUUCAAGUUGAAGAAUAUCUUGAGGAGGAAGGCAUCAAGCACGAGUUCUCCGCUCCCAACACACCACAGCAAGAUGGUGUGGUAGAGAGGAAGAACAUGACACUAAUUGACAUGGCAAGGACAAUGCUUGGAGAGUACAAGACUCCUGAGCAGUUUUGGUCAGAAGCUAUGUAUACAGCCUGCCAUGCGAUAAACCGGCUUUAUCUGCAUCGCCUCCUCAAGAAGACAUCUUACGAACUCCUAACCUGUAACAAACCCAAUGUUUCAUAUUUUCAUGUAUUUGGGAGCAAAUGUUACAUUUUGGUAAAGAAAGGUAGCAUUCGAAGUUUGCUCCUAAAGCUGUAGAAGGGUUUUUACUAGGUUAUGACUCAAAUACAAAGGCGUAUAGGGUCUUCAACAAAUCAUCAGGAUUGGCUGAAGUCUCUAGCGACGUUAUAUUUGAUGAAACUAAUGGCUCUCCAAGAGAGCAAGUUGAUCUUGAUGAUGUAGAUGAAGAUGAGGUUCCGACGGCCGUAAUGCGAAUAAUGGCGAUACGUGAUGUGCGACCAUAGGAACCACAAGAGCAAGAUCAACCUUCUUCCUCUACGUUGGUGCAUCCCCCAACUCAAGACGAUGAACAAGUACCUCAAGGGCAGGAUCAAGGGGGAGCACAUGAAGAACAGGAUAAGGAGGAAGAAGCAUCAUGAGUUCCUCCAACUCAAGUCCGAACGACGAUCCAAAGAAAUCAUCCAGUUGAUCAGAUUCUGGGUGAUAUCAGCAAGGGAGUAACAACUCGCUCAUGUUUAGCUAAUUUUUGUGAGCAUUACUCGUUUGUUUCUUCUAUUGAGCCUUUUAGGGUAGAAGAAGCCUUGCAGGAUCCGAACUGGGUGUUGGCCAAGCAGGAAGAGCUCAACAACUUCAGAAGAAACGAAGUUUGGAGACUAGUGCCACGUCCAAAGCAAAAUGUUGUGGGAACUAAGUGAGUGUUCCGCAACAAGCAAGAUGAACACGGUGUGGUGACAAGAAACAAGGCUCGACUUGUGGCAAAAGGUUAUGCCCAAGUCGUAGGUUUGGAUUUUGAGGAGACUUUUCCUCCUGUGGCUAGGCUAGAACCAAUUCGGAUUUUAUUGGCCUAUGCUGCUCACCAUCUUUUAAGUUGUUCCAAAUGGACGUGAAGAGUGCCUUCCUCAAUGGACCAAUCAAGGAGGAAGUAUACGUGGAACAACCCCCUGGCUUUGAGGAUGACAGGUAUCCUGACCACGUCUACAAGCUCUCUAAGGCGCUCUAUGGACUUAAGCAAGCCCCAAGAGCGUGGUAUGAAUGCCUUAGAGAUUUCCUUAUUACUAAUGCUUUCAAGGUUGGGAAAGUUGAUCCUACUCUCUUUACUAAGACUUGUAAUGGUGAUCUUUUUAUAUGCCAAAUAUAUGUCGAUGACAUUAUAUUUGGUUCUACUAAUCAAAAGUCUUGUGAGGAGUUAGCAGGGUGAUGAUGCAAAAGUUCGAGAUGUCAAUGAUGGGCGAGUUGAACUACUUCCUUGGAUUUCAAGUGAAGCAACUCAAGGAAGGAACCUUCAUACCCCAAACGAAGUACACUCAAGAUUUGCUCAAGAGGUUUGGGAUGAAGGAUGCAAAGCCCGCGAAGACACCUAUGGGAACGGAUGGACAUCUGGACCUCAACAAAGGAGGUAAGUCCGUUGAUCAAAAGGCAUACCAGUCUAUGAUAGGUUCUUUGCUUUAUCUUUGUGCUAGUAGACCGGAUAUUAUGCUAAGUGUAUGCAUGUGUGCUAGAUUUCAAUCCGACCCCAAGGAGUGUCACCUUGUGGCCGUUAAGCAAAUUCUUAGAUAUUUAGUGUCUAUGCCUUGCUUUGGGAUCUGGUAUCCAAAGGGGUCUACCUUUGACUUAAUCGGAUACUCAGAUUCUGACUAUGCCGGAUGCAAGGUUGAUAGGAAGAGCACAUCAGGGACUUGCCAAUUUCUAGGAAGGUCCCUGGUGUCUUGGAGCUCUAAGAAACAAACUUCUGUUGCCCUAUCCAUUGCUGAGGCCGAGUAUGUCAUCGCAGGACAGUGUUGCGCGCCACUACUUUGGAUUAGGCAAACCCUCCAGGACUUUGGCUACAAUCUGAGCAAAGUCCCACUCCUAUGUGAUAAUGAGAGUGCAAUCCGCUUGGUAGAUAAUCCUAUUGAACACAGCCGCACUGAACACAUAGACAUCCGGCAUCACUUCUUGAGAGACCACCAGCAAAGGGGAGAUAUCGAUAUUUAUCAUAUUAGCACCGAGAACCAGCUAGCCGAUAUCUUCACCAAGCCUUUAGAUGAGAAAAGGUUUUGUAGGUUGCGUAGUGAGCUAAAUGUCUUAGAUUCGCGUAACUUGGAUUGAUCUAUAGCAUACAUGUGUUCUAUGCCUUUGAUCAUGUUAUUUUAAGCAUUAAUGUCUUUAAUUGCUUAUACUUGGUGCUCAAGUUGCACAAGUCAUCCCCGGACCUCACAAGUCCCUAUGCAAAUGAUGCACAUGUUUAGGGUGAGGACGUGCUACAACUUGACUCCCUUGAGACUAACUUGUUUGUUGAGUACUCUUGAAAUAGUCUCAAAGGGAUAUUGAAAGGGAAAAGUGAACUUGGACAAAGAAAGAGCUUCCACUGCAUUCCAGUAAAAAUGUAUCUUGUCCUAAGUUCUUUGUUGUGCUCUCAUUGCUUUUUACUCUUAUUUGACAUUUUGGUGAUGCAAUGGGGUUAAAGGGCCAAAAAGGUCUCCUGUUUUGGUGCUUAAUGCCAAAGGGGGAGAAAUUAAGGCAAAAGCAAAUGGAUCAGCCAACCACUUGUGAAAUUUCAAAAAUUGUAGAGUUGGAAGUUUUGUAUUUGAUCAAAACUCUCUUAUUGCAAAAAUUGUUCUCUUAUGGGGGAGAAUUUUGAUUAUGGGAAAAAGGGGGAGUUUUUGACAUUUGAUCAAAUUUACUCAUAAUAGAUCUCUUGAUUUGACAAAACAAGUGUGUUUGACAUAGAGAUAGGAAAAAUAAUUUGUUUUGUGAAAAUAAACCAAGUGGUGGCAAAUGUGAUCCAAAUGUGCCAAAUUCUAUGUGAGUAAAUUGGUCUUCAAUUUGCACUCAUUGAGAAUGACAUUGCACUUGUAGAUGCUUUUAAAUGUGUUAGCAUAAAUCACUAAAAGGGGGAGAUUGAAAGGGAAAUGUGCCCUUGGGCCAUUUCUAUAAAUGUUUUGGUGAUUAGAUGCCCAACACAUAUUAUUUUGGUUCAUAUGUGCUAAGUACUAAAGAGAUGCAAAUCAAGAAUCAAGGUAUGAAUCUAGCCUUAGUGAAUUGUUUAUGGUACUAACAUAUUCCUCUAAGUGCUAGGAACCUUGCUAAAUCAAAUGAAAUUGGAUUGAAGAAGUUUGGCUAAAAGCAGCCAGAGAUGCACCAACCUGCGAUUCACCGGACCGUCGGGUGUGCACCAGACAGUGUCCGGUGCCCAGGCUGGUCCGGCGACGAACUCAUCGCUCUCAGGAAAUCGCCGAGGGCGUCGCGGCUAAAAUUCACCGGACUGUCCUGUGAGCCAACAGUGCCCACGCCAACGAUCGGCAGCGCAGUCAGCGGGCGACGCGUGGCCAGAGCCAACGGUCACUUGGUCGCACCAGACUGUUCGGUGUGCACCGGACAGUGUCCGGUGUGGCAAGUGGACCGAGGGCUCAACGGUCAGCUUCGCCAGAAAAUGAAAGAAAUCCAGCACUGUUCAUGUCCGGUGGUGCACCGGACUGUCCGGUGCGCCAGCGGACAGAAGGCAAGAAUUGCCUACCAAAUGGAGUUCCAACGGCUCCUAGCUGCCUUGGGGCUAUAAAAGGGACCCCUAGGCGCAUGGAGCAGCACACCAAGCCUCCAUUGAACAUCUUAAGACGCUUAGACUCUGCAAGCACGCAUCCAGAUCUUUGUGUUUGAGAUUUGAGCACUUCUUGAGUUGUAAACUCCCUGCGCUGUGUUUGUGUGCUCUUUUCUUGACUUGUGUGCGUGUCGUUGCUGCGACUCUAGCUCUUGCGUGUGUUUCUUUCCCUCCCUUACUCUUGUGGUUUUUAUUUUGAUCAACAUUGUAAGGAUGAGAGGCUCCAACUUGUGGAGAUUCCUCACAAACGGAAAACGACUCUAAGGAAGAAAACUGUGGUACUCAAGGUUGAUCAUUGGAUCACUUGAGAGGGAUUGAGUGCAAUCCUUGACCGAAGAAGAUCACCACAACGUGGAGUAGGCAUUGGCCAAACCACAGGAUAAAAUCACUGUGUCUCUUGUGUUACUUUUCAUUGUGAUUGGUUUCUCUCCUUGAGUUCUCACUUAAUCACUUGUGCUAUUGUUCCUAAGUUCAAUACUCAUUUCAAAGGAACAAUCAAGUGAAGAGUUCUCUCUAUAGCAUCUUGGUUUGAAUUUUGCUAACAUAUCAUCAACCAAGUUUGUGCUAUUUAGUGUUGAUUUUCACAGGAUCACCUAUUCACCCCCCCCCCUCUAGAUGCUCUCAGUUAUGCAACUUUUCCAUCUGUUCUACAAGAUUGCUAUUAAGGUUGUAGAGAAUGAUGACAUUUACACAAAAUACUCCAACGAAAGUUAUGACACAUUUAGUUGUGUUUUAUGCUACAAUUACCUCAAAAUACUUCUUGAUGCAUUUUACGUCAAUUUACGAAAUUAUUGAUGCGUUUUACGUCAAUUUUCGAAAUUCUUGAUGCGUUUUACACCAAUUUACGAUAUUUUUUAUGUGUUUUACGACAACCUUGUGCGAAGCGAGUACACAACAACUAUUCCAAAUUGUGUGCGACUUUUACGCCCCGAAUAGUGGACCUCUUACCCAUUAUAAAGUCAAUUGUAGUUUACGCUAAAUUAUACAUAAUUUUAUGCUUCUUUUGUAUUAGUUUUACGCUAAAACGGACAAAGCAAGAUAUACGACAACUACCACAAAUCUUACGCAUCUUUUACGCAACGUUGAGAAUAAAGCGAUAAAUGUCCCAUAUUUAUCGUGAUUUUACAACACUACUUUCCUAAUCUCAAACCAACCCAGAUCUACGCACACUAGUCACGUAUAUACAAUAGCAUAAAUGGUCUAAUGUCUCGAUAUUGUAUGGUUUAUGAUGUUACGUUUCAUGUUCUUAUGCAAUCAUAAACACUGAACAAACUUUGUAAAGUCGUCCCAUGUGAUUUGUGCGUCAGCAGAUUCUUUUUGCAUGGUUUAUGCACAUUAUUCAAUCUGUUUAUCCCGUUAUAAUUGCUGACACGUGCAUAGGUGAACUGCCUUCCUAGAUUCGUUGCAUGGUAUAUACAAAUUCUAUAACUCGGUUAUACCAGCAUAAAUGCUGAUGCAAUCACACGGGUGGUGGCCUAUCCGCGUCCUGGCUAGGGCUUCCCCUAAAUUGAAGCCCAUGGCUUCCAUUACCUCGAUCCUAUAUAUAUACUCAUCAUCGCCAUGCCCAAAGCACCAACAAGCUAAGAAGCUCCAUAGCUCAAUUCAGAGAGCACAAACGCCAAAUGGCUGCCAACACCUACUUUCUUCUUGUUGCUUCUCUAGCAUUGCUUACUUCUCAGGCCAUUGCCUCUGAUCCUAGCCCGCUCCAAGACUUCUGUGUUGCCGACUAAAACUCUCCAGGUAUGCAUGCUCGAGUCAUGAUGUGUUCUUGUACUAAAUACCUGAUCAAAUAAAGAUCAUUUGUUCAACUAGCGCAUUUCUAGCUAGGUAUGGCCUAUCACCUUAUGUUCUCAAUUUAAAUGUUGCUUGCCUUCGUCUAUGCAUCUAGUGAAGGUGAAUGGAUUUGAUUGCAAGGACCCCUUGGCUGUGAACGUUGAUGACUUCUUCAAGGCUGCAAAACUUGACCAAGAGCAAGGUGGGAUCCAACGUUACUUUGAUCAAUGCCAUGCCGCUGCCUGGACUCAACACAUUGGGCAUCUCUUUGGCUCACAUUGACUAUGCACCGUUAGGCCAAAAUCCUCAACACACACACCCACGUGCCACAGAGAUCCUCACCGUGCUUGAGGGGACACUCUACGUCGGUAUUGUUACCUCCAACCAAGCUGACAGAAGCAACAAGCUAUUUGUC